rnacentral:lncRNA from 1 species
UAACUAAUACGUAUAUAAAAUACAAUAUGAAUAUUACACAUUAGUUGUUUCGUAAAGUUAGUACAAAAUUUAAAAUUAUGUUGUCAUUUUAAUAUAUUUGAAUAAUACAUUGAGAAAACAUAUAUGCUAUUAUAUGAGAGAAAAUAUAAUGAUGCUAGCCGUGCAAUCUGCGUGGGCCACCAUGCUAGUUUAAAUUAUAUCAAAUAAUAGUAUUGUCAAAAUAGUAGAUCUGAUUGAGAGGUACAAUUUUCGUUCUGAAGAUUGUCUCUUAUCUGAGUUCACAGAUGCAGGGGUUGUGUUUAUAUUUGAAACUGACGCUAAUAUGAUCAGGGUCAUUAGUGUCUGUUCGUAGAUGAAACUGACACUGAUAAGGCCUCAUCAGUGCUAGUUUUUCCAAUGAAUCGACACUGAUAAAACCCAUCACUUUAGUGCCAGUUUGUUAUUCUCAAACCAGAAAUGAUGCUUAUUGUUCGGGUCGUUUUUUCCUUCCCGAGUGUACGCCAAAUUGAGGAUGAAGAGAUCCUAUCAGUGAGUUUUUUUCCCUAACCGGUAAUAAUAGAUGGUACGAUUGAGACGUCCUAAAGUAAUGGACUUUUAUAUUUUUACUCUUAGGUGGUGUCAAAGCUAACGCUAAAAAUAGAAAACGAUGACCAUAUGCCUACCGCAACUUUAAAUUAAGUUUGAAAAUUUAAAUUUUGGUUGUAGCUUAAUCAUAAGCCAAAAAAACCAAAUUAUGAGAGCUUUAUCAUACUCAAGUUGUUAAUAUGACUGCGAGCUAAGUAGUUAAACGAUACUUUAGAAUCUAGAACAAUGGGUUAAGAUUCAUGAGUGAUUAUAGCAUAAAGCUACAUAUAAACGCUAUACCGUUAAUCAUAACCCAUACUAUUACAUUCCGAAAUUUAACCUAUUUUGAAAUGUAAUAGUAUGUUUUUAGUUUUGUCAUAAACCAAAUAAACAUCCUUAAGCAAUCAUAUAGAAAAAAUAUAAUGAUGUUUGUAGCACCAAAUUAAUUUUAUUAAAUCCAUAGUUGAACAUAUUUUUAUAAUAUAGUUCGUUGGAAAUAUUCCCACUUUCUUCUUAUAAAUUUUGAAGACAUCUGACUUAUGACAGGACCAAAACAUCUUAUAUUCUGAAAUGGUGAGAGUAGUACUGUAUAGCUGGUACUGUACAGAUCAUCUUUAAAUGUUGACCACAAAACGGAUAGUUGCAAGAUGCAUGUUCGCAUGGAAACUUCGUGAUACACUUUUGAGCUAGGCAGCAAGCUAUAUAAAUAUAUGAACUUAAGAGAGGCACGUAUAUGUUAUACUAUGUAGUUGUCAGUACGUGGAAUAAACUAGUCACUAGAAAAGGCAAAAUUGAAGUCCAAAGAAUGUAUUCCUAGCUACGAUGUUGACGUGAAGGUUUGUGGGUUUAUUUCGUUAAACAAAUUGAGGAGGAAUAUGCCUACCAAAAUGAGAUCAGUACUAGCUCCAAUGUUCAUGGGGUAACAUAAAAAACACCAAUAAUCCUCUUGAUGCGUAUGGAUGCCUUUACUUUAAAGAAUUCUUUAAGAAGCGCGAUGCCAAAUGUUUAGGGCCCCUUUGAUUUGUAGGAAAAAUGUAGGAAUUUUAGAGGAUUUCAAUCCUAUGGAAAAAAAUCAUCCUAUCCAAUCCUUUAAAAUUCCUAUGGAAUGGGUAAUCCUAUGCACAUUUUGGAGGAAAGUUAGCAAGAGGUCUAACCUCUUGGAACAUUUCCUCUGAGUCUAUCUCUCUCAUCUGAUUCCUGCGUUUUUCCUGUGGUCCAAUCAAACGGCCAUUCCUGUGUUUUUCCUGUGUUUUGCAAUCCUCUGUUUUACAAUUGUAUUCCUGUCAGAAUCCUGUGUUUUUCCUAUUCCUCUAUUUUUUCAUUUCUACGAUUCAAAGGGGCCCUUACUUGUUUCCCAUGCCCAAUAUAUAUUAUCUCGAAUUGAUGUGAUGGUAUAGGUAGCCUAAUGAAAACUACAGCUUUAGCUAGCUUCGCCUUUUUCUGCAUGGUUGAUUCAACAGAUGGGGCCAACAUAAUGGUACAAUUUAUUAAUUUAUUUUGAACACCGCAGGAAUGAAAAAAGUAAAUAUUCACUAUAAUACAAUAUUAAUAUUAACUAAGUGUCGGUAUACUAAACAUCUAAUACCCCAUAGACGCAAAUAUACCUCAGCAAAAUUACCGCAUAACAACUUCUAUGUAAAAACCAAUCCCCAACAAACAUAGUAUCUUAUGCAUUAGGGAAACAAAGAUACAAUUUCAUCCGGGACCGAUAAAGGCUAAGUUCGAGCGAGGUGGAGUCACCUCCCUGCACGAAAAACUGUUGUACCCAUUAACGUGUUGUCAGGGUUACGGGUAAGGUAUACCCUUUACCCUUCGAUACACGUCGCGUAUCGGUAUGGUAUACCUGCGCGUAUACGGACGCUCUCUGCAUACAUUAAGGAAAUCCAUCACGGAGUUCACAGAUGGAAAGAGUCCUACUCGGACAGGACAGGGUCGUCAAUGUAUCGUGCAGGGUCCGAUGUCUCCGAGUUCUACUUGAAAACCGCCUGACCUGCGAUAUAAAAGGGACCCCCUGGGAGGACCUAAAGGAUCGAAUCUCAUAGCUAAUACAUCCACCGCAGCCUACGAAGUCGGAGCCUACAGGAGCCAAGUCGUCGGGAGAUCUAGUCGAAUUAACUCGAUUACGAUCUCGCCGAUACUCCCGAGUUCCACUAUUCCCUUUGUAAUCUGCGAUCUCCAUCAUAUAAUCCCAUAUCAACUGGAUUAGGGCUAUUACCUAUCAAGGGGCCUGAACUAGUAUAAUCUUUGUUUUCUGUCUGCUUGAUGUCGUAUUACGUAGAUCCUCGUACCAGUGUACCCCAAUACCAUCUAUAUCCGGUCUACGGGUAUCCCCCGUCGACACACGUGAUUAACUAAGUAUUAGCCGAAAAAACUUGAAAAAUGGACCAAUUUGAUUUUUAAAGCAACUAUCCUAUAGAAAACAUUUGAAAAAACGUACUGUUUAGCAUCUUGUGCAUGGAAAAGGAGGUGAGAUGGGAUAGAAAGGGGAAAAUCACAGCCACAAAUUAAAUGAGUCUCUAAGUCCAUCCUGGACAAUAAGCAACCCUAGGGGUAUAAAUUCAGCCCCUUCCUGGAGGAAAGGGUAAGCCUAUUAAGAUCAACCCAACACAGGACAACUGGAGCUGAGAAGCCAAGUCGCCAGUCACUCACAACACAACUUUUUACCCAAGUCUUGUAAUUUGUACGUAUAUAUACACAGCUAAGCAGGUUUUUUUUUAUUUGAGGAGGACCGAACAUAUAUAAAAUACUAGUUGGCACCCCGCGCCUUGCCGCGGGAUUUGCUAGUUUUAUCGUCAAAUAAAACUAUAUAUAUGUUUUAAAUAAUUAGAUGUAACUUUUUUUUUGCUAGGAAAUUAGAUGUAACUAUGUAUAUAUACAAAAUAAAUGAUAAUAUGGCUUCAUAUACAGCCUUUGCUAUUAUAAUACAAUUCAUGUUUUAUUUUUUUAAAAAACGUCAGUGUGUAUUGUUAUAAUGUACGAAAGUUAUUAUCAUGAACAAUUUGGAUAUUGUCAUAAUUAGGAUAGUUUGCACAUCUUUGCUUUAUCUCAAGCUUGUUUCAGAAAUAGGUUUGGGUUAACGAUGCAUAAUUACUCUAUCUUAUCCAAUUGUUUAUAACAAAACAAAACUCAGAUCUUAUACAAUAAUUUGAGUUCUAUUAAAUAAAGGAGAUAAGUUUUGUAUUAUCUUGGAAGACUUGGGAGGAGAAAACAUAGUAUUAUGUGCAGAAUUGAUAACAAUGUCAUGCUUGAUUAUGAUCUAAAGGGAGGUGACUGGAUAAGUAAUCAAUGAUUAAAUUAAAUGGGUGAGUUGUUUCUUGAUCCAACGGCUGAUAACUAUGUACUAAUGUGACCGAUGUCUUAGAAUUAUUGUCUAUGUGGCUUCUUGCAUGCCUUGUUUUAUAGGAGUAAAUGCUUCUUGAUGGGUAACAAAACUAUAUAGGAAGAUAGGAUUUGUCUCUUAAUUUUUUUUCUAAGUGUGCAUAUGAUGAGAGCCUACAAAUUCCAGUCUUGACAAAAGUAACCCUACGGCCUGUUUGGCAAGAGAAGGGAAGAGGAAUGGGAGUUUCAAGGAGGGAAUUGAUCGUGGGAUUGGUCAUGGGAGUUACAUUUUUAAUUUCCAUCCCUGUUUGGUUUCACAUCUUAUUCCCUCCAAGUCUCACGAAUUAACAGGCCUCCCCCAGUAAGAGAUUGGUGAGAAUUGGACCUCUUAAUUCCCUAUCCCAAACCCCCUCGAAUUCCCAAGUCUUCCAACCAAACUACAGACUUAAUCUCCUAGAUAUCAUAAACUCCCAUUCCCCAUCACCAACUCCCUCCAACCAAACAGGCCACUAGAAUACACGAUAUUACUGUUAAGAAUUAAAUCGACAAUAAAAGGCUUGGUAGAAUUAUUACAAAUGACUAAUUCGUAUACUAUUUGGGUGCACCGAAAUUAAUCACUGUCAUGGUUACACUCCACUUUGUUCUUUUUUUACAGGCAUUGUGUAUCUCUUUUCUACUAGCAAAAUACCAAUGUGUUGCAACAUAUUUUUUUACAAAUAAAAGUAAAACAAUUUGAGUUUACAGGGUAUCAAAAUAGACAAUUCAAAUCAUGUCCAGCAGCUGCGAUGGUGACGCUUGGGGACCUAGGUGGGCCGGCGCAGGACGGGACGGCCCGCGGGCAUCACAGUGAGGGGGGAGGCAAGGGUGGCAUGGUGUGGAGCACCCGCACAAAGAGCUUCGUCGCUGCCACCACGGCAUCCUCAUCCGCUGCAUGGCUGCUACUCUCCCUUCCCGACUUCAGCUUCUGGGCCAUUGAUCCGAUGCCCAUGAGCUUAGGGCACCAGAUCUGGCUAGUAUGAUGGCAGCGAACGACGGGGAGGGGCUGGUGGGGAAUGAGAUAUAGGGAGCAAAGAAAGAUUAAAAAUAAAUACACUACCUUCCUGCCUCGAUUGGCUUCACUAGCGACUUGCCGCCUGCUACCGCCCUCUCCAUCGGCCAUUCCUCUCAAGCACCAUAGUGUCCUCCUCUGCUACUGUGCCUCCUCUCUUUUAUUAUGCCUCUUCAUCCCCGGCGGAAGUCGCCAACCGUGGGAGAUGAGAGACAUCGCUAGCCCCGGGGUUCCCGUUGCCCUCUAAAUCCGAGUGCCAUCAUUUACUGGUCUCUGCCGAUCGUCAGCGACCACCAUGCUGCCCCUAGCUUGGAGCAUGAAGCAGCAACUGUGGCAGAAGGCCCGGGCAGACGGGGGAGAUGCAGUGGGAGCAGGAACGGAAGGCGCGAGCAGGGCAGCAUUAGAAGGCUCGGGUGGAAGGGAAGGUAGUGGGAGAUGCGGCAGAAGGCAUGGGUUGCUGUGGGCGGAGACAUGGCCUCAGGUUUGUUGUUUUUGCAUAGCGGCACGUAAGGUGGAGGUGUGGCAUGGUUCGGGUCAGCGCAGCGCUGGACUGGCAGGGUGGCUUCAACUCCGACAACAUUCUAAAGAUUGAGGAAGUCACUAUUUGAUCAUAAAGGCGAAACAAAUAAUAAAUCUAAAAGACAGGAGAAUUGAAGAAAAUACUACUAUAGAAAUAAAGACUAUAAAUCAGCUAGCAAUACUUCAAACCAAUUUAAAUAAAAUAACAUCUCAAAAAAGUUAUAUUAUAUUCACAAUUAUGCAUGGUAAAAUUUUACUCAAAAUAAAUGUAAAGUUCAUUUUACAUAUAAAUAUUAGUUUUGCAAUAAAUUAUGGUAAAUAAUUUGUUGUCCUAAUACUAUUGUUUAUUAUAUAUAAAAAAAUAUAUAUGUAUGUUCUAACUAGAUUUACAACUAAUUUUACUCUCUCACGCGUUAUAAAAACUAUAUUUUAUGUUUGAGCUCCUAUAUUUUUGUAUGCUUAUUAAUCUACCAACCAAUAAAGAAAUAUCGUAAAUGUACCCUAAAGACAUUCACUAAUUUUGAAAAUUUAUAAAUACACCCAAAUCCUUUAUUUGUGUUUCAGUUGUUUGGAAAAAAAAUACAGAUUAACCGUGAGCUUAUAUUGAUAAACUACAUUGCUAAAGUCUGCCGAAUUGUAGACAUUCAGUAGAGGCAUUCGGUAAAGUGGUAGUGGGGGAAGUUAAAGUCACCAGAUUGUACGACUUUUGUAUAUGUGUCAUAACCUAACCAAUGUUAACAUUGCAGGAAAGUUGGAGUUGCAGUUGCUUUAAUUUAACCUUUUUCUUUCAGGGAUCCAUGCUUUAAAUUACUUUUGUGCCAGUUCAUUCAUGUUAGGACCAAUUAAUUACCAUGAAUGUCAAGCAGCACAGGUUAUUACGUCUUGAAGAACACAACAAACCUUUUACUGCUCUUUUAUGAACAUGCACACCUUUGAUUAUAGGUAGCAUAUACCCACAUGGCAAGACUAUCCGACUAGGAUAGUCCAUAUAAGUAGCAUAUGUAUAAGAUAAGAACUCGGGUAUUAUGGUUGUUUUUAUAUCAAGGAAACAUCCCGUAGUCCUGGUUCGCUAUAAUUGUGAAAUAGUUAUAGAGAUUUAAACCGGAAGGAGUAAAAUCUCUAUCUUGUAAACCUGUCUCCUCCGACUAUAUAAGGGGCAUGGUGCCUCUUGAGGGGCAUAACCACACUUGAGAUUGUCAGAUCAAUAUCACAAUCAGUGGAUCAAAUUUCCGAACAGGAGUAUGGUAUUACUUAUCAUCGAAAAGACCUGAAUCUAUCUAAAUCCUUGUCUCAUAACCCAUCCACUUUCCUUCUUGUGCGCUGCCCCUUUUCAUAUUGCCGAAUUCUAGUUUCGACACAUUUCCCCUUCCCACAGGCUAACUAGUAGUCCUAUGUCUUUGUAUAUCCAAUAAUUGUAAAUAUAAAGGCUAUAUUUCUUUCCAUAAUCUAAAACAUACUCCCUCCACCACAGAAUAAAUAAAAAAGAAACAUGUUUAAGUUUUUUGCUAGUUAAACUUGAUGUGUGAAAAUGGAAUGUUGUUUUGAUGGGUGAUGACAUGCGUGUUUUGUGUUCAAAUGUUGCUAUCUUUUCCUAUAAAUUCGAUAAAACUUUACAAAAUGACUUAUACAAAAUCAGCAUGUCUUAGGAAUACUAUAUAUGGCCCUAACAGUGUCGCCUCAAGGCAUAUGAUCAGAUAUUCACUUUAUUUUGUGACACAUUAACCCAAAAGACGAGACUUAGACUGAUCUCAUGGUCUUUUUUACAACUAGUACUGAAAAGCUUCUCUCAAAGAAAAGAAUUAUACUGAAAAGCAAGACACAUAACAACCAAAUUGUACUGCAUGCAUGCUAUCAAAAACCAAUUAUUACCAGCAUCACUGUCUAUGAAACUGCCAGAACUGGGUUAGGUAAAAGGUAUAAAGAUAUAAUGACAGCAGAAGCAUGGGAGAGUAGAGAGACCACCACUGCUUGGGAGGAAGGGAAAGAUCAAAGAGGGAUGGCCGUGGAAGCUUUAGGCACAGAAAGUAGGGUGUUGUCGAAACGACAACCGCAUACGUUGAAGGACGUGGUUACUCAACUGUGUUGGAAAAGCAAUAAAUGUAUUGAUUGAUCAAAUUUUUCGGGAUCCCCCAAUUACAUGGCCCUAGGUGUUUAUUUAUAGCCCCAUUACAGGAUAUCAGCUGCUAGGGUUUAGGAUUACAGGGGAUUUUACAUGGUUGCCCUCAUGAGAGGGACAUUUAUAUGGGUACAUAGCGUCAUUUGCAUACAUGGGCCUUUAAUGGGCUGAUAGGCUGGGCCUGGUCUAGGGCGAAGGAGCCCUAUAGGUUGGGAGCGGCCUGCCGGGCCUCCUUGAUGCCGAACUCGUCAAAGCGAAGCCUUUGUAGUUCGCCGUAUGCCCUUCGCCCAAGAUGCCUCUACUUGCGAAGCACCGGCGCAGGUUUCCAGCCUUCGCCACCUUCGCUUAUGGCUUUCGCCGUAGGGCUUCGCCCGAAUGGUCUCGACGUCUUUGGCUUGGAUCCUUGCUGGUACUAUGGUUUUGGCGGGUUCGGCCGAAGGGCCUCAUGGCAUGCCUCCAACAAGCCCCUCACGGGCAAGGGUGAGUAGGGAGCUUCGGCUGAAAUGGAAAAGCUCGCUUACGCCCUAGUGAUGGCUUCGCGCAAGCUUAAGCACUACUUUCAGGCCCACAAAGUCACUGUGCCGUCGCAGUAUCCUUUGGGCGAAGUGCUAUGAAGCAAGAAGAUCACUAGCCGAUUCAGCAAGUGGGCAGCAGAGUUAUCACCUUUCGACCUGCAUUUUGUCGCCCGCACGGCCAUCAAGUCCCAAGUCCUAGCUGACUUCGUGGCCGAAUGGACACCGGCGUUCGCUGAAAUUUUUACAUUUUGGUCCUUUUUGAAAACUUAUUUUACAAAUAGACCCCUGAAAAUACUUAAACCGGAAAUGGUCCUUUUUGGGACGCCAGAGUGGCUGGCGCUGUACCCCAACAUGGCGGCGCCAGCCACACUGGCGCCGUGCCCGUGCCACCAUGGCAGUAGGGUUGUCGUGGAGGUGCUGACUAGGCCGAAGGGGGCGCCAGCCACAGUGGCGCCGCCCCUCAUACCACGGCGCCAGCAUGGCUGGCGCGCCCCUCCUCUGCGGGCCCCACCAACUUUCUCCCCGCCCUCAAAAUUUUCGCCAAGUCUGUUCUGCCUCCGGGCUAUGGCUGGCGUCCCCCCCCAGACCGCGGCGCCAGGGUGGCGGCGCCCCCCCAGACCGCGGCGCCAGGGUGGCUGGCGCCGACCUUCAAAAAACCAUCGAAGCCCUUCUGCCUCCGGGCCUCGGCUGGCGCCGCCCUCAUGGACCACGGUGCCAGGGUAGCUGGCGCCGUCCUCCACCCAGCCCGAAACCCUUCUGCCUCGCGGCACUGGCUGGCGCCGCCCUCCCCAACCGCGGCGCCAGGGUGGUUGGCGCCGCCCUCUGCCUCCCUGCAAAUUGAAGAUCCAUAUUGCACAAAUGAACCAAUUCACAGUUCGCAAUUCAAAUCACAAUUCACAGAUUCGUACAGACUAAAACAAGUUCCAAUUGCACAAAUCACAAUGUUUUUUUGUCCAUCACAUAGUCCUCACAUAGUCCAUCACAUAUUCCACACAUCAAACAAUGCCAAAAGUCCAUCACAUAUUCCACACAUCAAACAAUGCCAAAAGUCUAUCACAUAUCCCACACAUCAAACAAUGCCAAAAGUCCAUCCUAUAUUCCACACAUGAAACAAUGUCAAAAGUCCAUCACAUAGUCCUCACAUAGUCCAUCACAUUUUAUAUCACAUAGUGCACCACAUAUGUCAUACUACAAACCAAUAGAUUAACUUCAUACAAAUCACUUCUUCCGUUGGCGCCGAAUUGCUUGCGAGCCCGGAGUGUACCUACAUUUGAAAAUCCAAUGUUUAAAACAUUUUAAAAACAAAAUAAGGGAAAUCAAAUAACAUUUGAGAAUGGUAAGCUCAUUUUACCUCUUUUUCGCUGCCCGAGUGGAUCGCAAGUUGUAUUGUGUGGGUUGCAUCCCCUGAGGCGCGUCGGGAAGCUGCGACAUGUCUAUCUCCUCAGCGUCUGGUGCGACGUAGUCCUCAUCCUCCUCAUCCUCAUCGUCAUCGUCGUCGCUAGGUGGAGUCGGCGCCUUCCCCUUUCCCCUCCCUUGCUUAAUGCGUGACGACGACGAGCCACCAACUCCUUCACGCUCUUCUAUCCUGAUGGAGUGUCGAGCGGUACUUGGACGCGCGGAUUGAGGUAGUGGUGGUGGUAGUCUCCGCAGUUGGUACACGUUGUCCAAUCCAACCGACCUGCAACCUAAUCUUGCUGCAAGUUUCCGGCACCUUUGACGAACUUUCUGCAUUUCAAAAAAAAAAGAAGUUUGUUAGGCAUAACUCAAGUAAUGCAAAGUGCUAAAUAAAUUUUACCUCUAAAACAUUGCGGAGUGUGUUCUCCGUGUCCUCACCACCCCUCGGAGCUUGGAGGGCAUGCCCCAUUUCAUUCACACUCCUGAGGAGCUCUCUCGACUGAAAGCGUGAGAAGAUAUAUGUUAGGGUCUAGGGUGCAAAUGGAAAUAACUUUGACAAAUGCAAGAAAACUUACGACUCUGUCUCUAAGUGGGGCGUGCUCCAUUUGAUAUCCAACUCUAGUCCGGACAUCAUAGGGAUUCCGCCCCUCAUCGGAGUCGCGGUCAUCUUCUAUGUCGGCUUCCGUCCAAGUAGGGCGGAGGAAUAGUCUAUAUGUCCUAUGCAGCCAACGAAGGUACUCUGAGAAAAGAUGAUUUUGGUGUAUAGUCUCGAUGUACCUGUCGUUCCUUCCGGCUGUCCUCCAUUCAUCAAUGUAUCUAUUAUGCUCUAGCCCCCAGUCUUUCACCUUCUUUGUUCUCACCCUGUCAUACCUAGACAAGUAGAAGGUGAUGAAACAAUAGUGAGCAUCGACAAGGGUUAAAUGGUACAAAAUUGAACAUUGACAAUGAAAGCAAACAAAGAUAAGAAAUAUUUACUUGUGUAAUUCAUCUCCAGUUGAGAUGUCCUCAACCGGCCAAUCUUGUUUCUUCCCGAACUGUCGCAUGACACGGUGCGGAAGGUGGUACUCAACUGCCCAGAAACAAAUCAAUGGGCACUGGUACAUGAAAUAGUCAGAGUCUCGAUUGCACAUCGAGUUCAGGGUCAGGCUUGAAGCCUCAUUUGUGUGGUAUGGUAACCACUCAAUCUGCAAAAGUUGAAGAGAUGUCGUUGGUUAGUAUCUCAAUUAAAGAAGUAAAUGUCUAACUAGAAGUGAUAUUGGAAGUACUUACAUGUUGAGGCUGUAAGCAGUCCAUCUCAUUGACAUAAUGCUUGUAUGCCACAUCCCGGUGAGCAUGUGCAGUGGCAGUACUCUCAAAAAGGUAGGCCACUGUCUUCUCCAUGUCUGGCUCAUUGUAGGGCCAAGGAGUGAAGCUUUGCCUCCACUUAGGCCUUCCAACUGGUAGUCUUAACCACAUACACAGCUGAAUCAAUAGCACACAACCACUCAUGUUGGAUAAUGAUGCCUGACAACAACAUGCCUCACAGAGCUGUCUAUAUGUCCACGCCAACACUGCUGAGCCCCAACUGAAACGGCCCAGAUCACCAAGGUUGGCGACCAAAGGAAUCCAUAUCGCCGAAGCAAUGUCACCCCCAGCAUCAGGAAACAGAACCCCUCCCAACAAGUGCAAGAUGUAUGCACGGGCAUAACACUCAACACGCCAUGGCUCAGCGUCGUCGUCAAGAUGUGAGAAGUUCUGACUCAGCCAAGACAGGGGUAUUCCAUUCUGCAUCUUCUUCCCCCCUUGCCCCUGCUCAAUGUUCAGUUGAAUGCCAAACAGCUGCUCCACUUGUGCACGCCAUCCAGGAGUCUCUGUCCUGCCCGUCACGGCAUGCCCCUGUAAUGGGAGGGCCAAGAUCAUAGCCACAUCCUGUAGAGUGAUGGUCAUCUCACCACUGGGAAGAUGGAAGCUGUGUGUCUCAGGCCUCCAUCUGUCCACAAGUGCUGUCAACGCAGGAGCGUUGAACACUGGCAUUCCUCUGCUCACGACCAAGGCCACCCCGAGCAACCCGGCCGCCCUUAGGUACGGGAUGUACCUAUCGUCGAACACUGGGGGGGCAUGAGCUCUGACUCGGAGUGGUUGAAGUACCUGCAUUAGUAAUUGUAAAUCAAUUAGUUAAUAUAAUGUCAAAUACACGCUACCGAUACUUAUGCACAAGUGAAUCAAUGCUGAUUCAUACCCUUCCCGCCUCGAUCACAGCCCCGCGAUGACGGGCCUCGUAGUACGCCUCCAAGGCUAGGUAAGUUGGCGGUUGUCCCUCCUCGGCCAUCCUACAUGAAAAAGUAAUAAAUUCACCGUUAGUUACCAAUGGGACAUAUAUUAAAAGAAAAUGAAUGCGAGAACAUGAGUAGGAAAACAAAAUAUUUACCUCCCUAACACUUAUAUUUUUUUUGGACUUCUUCUUUUUUGGACGCUUAGGACACUUAGUUUUCUUGUGACCCUCCUGGUGACACAACGAGCAUCUAUUUUGCACCGGCGCAGCAUAAAGUUGAACGCAUGAAGGUGGUUUCCUUCCAGAACCACCCAGACCUGAGUCCAUUUCGUUCUUGAAUCGUUUCGAUCUCCUCUUCCCUCUUGUUUUAAUCUUCAAAUUUGGGUCAGCAACAAAUUCUUCACCAUCGUACGGUGGCCACUGUGUGGGGUCGAGGUAUGGCUCAAAGCGACUUGCCCAUGUGUUCACAACGGCUCUUGAAGAGAACUGAUACGGCAUUCGGUUGGGAGAUUCCUCAUCAAUUGCAUAAAUCAGAUAAACGUGUAUAAGAUGUGAGCAAGGCAUAUGGUAGAGCAAUGGCCUUUGACAAGAACAUGAGUUCCCCUCACCUUCAACUUUGAAGGCUCUUGCGCCGAAUCUAACACCACCACGCGUUAUACCACCCCUCUCUGUGACCUCGUAUGUCUUUUUCUGCUGAUCAAAACACCUUGCGGUGUGUUCGUUCGCCUUAUUUUUUUGCACCUUCAUCUUACUAUCAAUCUUGGUGGACCAACGCUGCCCUAACUGAACUCGCUUCAAAGCUUCAUCAUGUCUGUUCACAAAGUAGUCAUUGCACUUCAUGAACGUAAAUGAUACUAUGGCCGUCACUGGAAGCUUACGAACACCAACUAGCACGCUAUUGAACUGUUCGGCCAUGUUGGUUGUCAUGUAACCCCACCGGCGGCCAUUUCUAUCGUAUGCACGAGACCACUUAUCUUUAUCCAACAACUCAUCUUCAAGCCAUUUACGAGGACCUUCGGGAAUACGCUGCCUUACUGCCUCAACAUCCCUCUCAAAUAUCCACUUCUCGUCAAUCUGACAUAUCCUUAGGAGCUCUUUUGUCUGAUGCUUGUCCGCACCGGCCUUGUGGAAAUUAGCACUGAAGUGCCUCAUGCACCAUCGGUGGUGAACCGGUGGCAAUCCUGGAACAGGAGUCGUCAUGGCAUUCAUUAUACCAGCAUGUCGAUCUGAGAUAAUACAAACCUCCCAAUGUGGCCCAACCACAACCCGUCGGACAAGAUCGAUAAACCAGCACCAGUCUCGUGAAUUCUCUUUCUCCACCAAGGCAAAAGCUAAAGGUACAAGUUGGUCCUCCGCAUCAGCUGAUAAUGCAGUCAUCAAAGCACCACCGUAUUUCCCAGUUAGGAAGGUUGCAUCUAUAGCUAGUAUUGGCCUACAAUGCUUAAAUGCCUCAAUGGAAGGACCAAAGCACCAGAAUGCACGCAUAAAAAUUUUCUUGGUCACUCCAUCAAUGUUGACAACCCUAUCAGGAUGAGUAUCGAUGUGGUAGACCAUACUGGGAUUCCUCUGCUUAAUGGCUUGCAGCAAAGUGGGCAAACGGACAUACGCUUCACCCCAUUCACCGUAAAUGAGCUUCAUAGCCUCCUCUCGUGCCCUCCAAGCCUUGCCAUACUUCACCCUAUACUGGAAAACCUCAAAUAUAUACAAAGCUAACGCAGAAGCAGAGAGUGUAGGUUGCAGUUUUAUGGCAUUGCAUAACCUAUUUGCUAUGAACUUUGAUGUCAGCUGCCGGUGGCUCCCUGAACCUUCGGCAGUAGCACAACUAUGUUCCUUACCUACCCGUGAUAUCCUCCACGUGCCACUAGACCUCUUAGUUGCAUGGACCUUCCAUUUGCACCGUGGGUUUUCACAUUUAACAGUGUACCUCCUAUUUGCAGCAGAAUUGACAACACGGUAUGGACGAUGGUGCACGAUGGCGUACUCCUGGAGCCAUAGCUUCAAUGCGACCAUGGAUGAGAACUCUAAACCCUUUCUGAGACCAUCCACCUGGAAUGGUUCUGGCAACUGAUCUAGGUUGAUACCGCCAUCUAGUAGUGCACCAUGGGCAUGUAUUAGGUCCCUAAACUCAGGAAUGUCCGGCUUCCUCCCAAACACCUUCUAAAACGCACGACAUUCCUCUAAUGCUAACUUGUCAUUAUUAGUAAGUUGAGGGAAUGGACGGUCAUCAUCAGAGUCUUCAGCAAAUUCAACAUCAUAUUGCUCAACACUUGCCUCCUCGUCAACAUCAUCUCUAUUGACUUCUACUAAGACAGAAUCGUGACCACCACUCAAUUCGACAUCAAAGUAAUCAUCUGGAUUCACAUAUUGGCCUGCUACUUCUGUCGGGUAUUCAGGGUUGACUCCGUACGACGACCAAUGAACACUCGCCGACAAAUGUUCACUUAGAUCAAGACCCUCUUGUACUAACUCCCUUUUCAUCUCCCUCGCUGCAUCCACAUCAUCAGUACCGCAAUGUCUCUUUGAUGGUCCUACCUCCUAUAAAUCAUUUCCAAGCAAAGGUCUCUUCUUCUCUCCUUCCCCCUCCAAGUCUUCUCGUACCAACUCAGUCUUACUUGCACCCCCUCCACGACGAGAAUAAUAUGUCACAAAAUUCUUCUCAACGUAAUGAUAAGAAGGAGAUUUGUUUAGAUCCAAAUUUUCUACGGUACGAACUAACUUUGAUGCAAACACCUCUAGAGAUCUAAACUGAGACUCUUUUACCAAAUCAAAGUAAACUUCCCAUUCCAACUGACCUAUCACAUUUAAUAUAUACUUAUGCCCUUGACCAACAUCGUAUCUCCCAUAAAAACGAAUCUCCACAUUAUCCUCGGUCCAUCCAAGAACUUCUUUCACUCGUGACCUUAGUUCAUCUAGAGUUGGGUGGGUGGGAAACAAAAUGGUCUUCAAUGACAUAUCCUCAAACUCAACAUGUGCACCAACAUAAGGUUCCACCACUCUACCACCGUAGUAAACACGAACAAGUCUAUCCAUCUACACCAAAAAAUCAAAUGUAACUUUGCAACAAAAAUUAAAUCUUCAUUCCUAAACGUAGUCCAAACCGACAUAUUAUAACCAAUGCAUAACUUAAAUUGUCCCAAAGCUACUACUCCAAAAAAUUAUUUAAUCCACCUACAACUAUCAACAAGUUUACUAGUGCAUUACACAUCGAAAUAUUACAAAUACUUCAUCAUACAACCCAACCUAGUUCUAGUUAACUAUAAUCAAUUUAUAUAAUGCAACCAAAAUUUUCUCACCUUCAUAUAAUUAAUGGUUAAAAGUUUAACCUAUAGACUAUAGCAUCAAGUCCAUCAAAUUAAAAUUACUUUCAUGCCUCAACCAUAAUUUUUCAUCCAUCCAUCCAACCAAACCAUCCAAAAAUUAACAUUACCACAUAUAUGGUUAAAAAAAUUAUGACACCAAUGAGUACAUUGCAAACAUGUAGCACUCCAACAAGCCAAUCCUAAGAACAAAUGCUAAAAAUCACAAAUUUGGGUAAAAAAGGGGUUCUAGGGUUACCCACCGAUCUACAAAUUCAACCAAUAAAAACAAAAAAAAAAGAGGGGUGAAUGAAGGAGUCUACCUUUCUCUUCGAUUUCCACAAAAAAAUCCCGCGAAAAACGAGUUCAAAUGGAGUGGAUUUGAGGUGGGGAGGUGAGGGGGAGAGAGAGGGGGAGAGCUGCUGCUGCUCAGCUCGGGCUGGUGCUUGGGCGAAAAUGGGAGUGGGGAGGAGAUAGGUGGUGGGGCCCAUGGGGUUUAAUGGGUCGGCCCACAGAGGAGGGGCGCGCCAGCCAUACUGGCGUUGUGGUAUGAGGGGCGGCGCCAGUGUGGCUGGCGCCCCCAUUCUGCCCAGUCAGCACCUCCAUGAUAGCCCUAGUGCCACGGUGGCACUGGCACGGCGCCAGUGCGGCUGGCGCCGCCAUGUUGGGGUACGGCGCCAGCCACUCUGGCGCCCCAAAAAUGACCAUUUCCGGUUUAAGUUUUCCCAGGGGUCUAUUUGUAAAAUAAGUUUUUCAAAAAGGACCAAAAUGUAAAAAUUUCAGCCGGCGUUCACCCCCGAACCCGAGCCCGUCGAACAGCCUUCGAUAAUGCACUCCGACGGCACGUGGUCGCACAGGGGGGCGGGCGCCGCGGCAGUACUCACUUCGCCAAGAGGCGUGCCCAUUCGAUAUGCCGCAAGGCUGCAGUUCGACACGACCAACAAUACGGUCGAAUACGAAGCUGUACUUUUGGGCCUAAGAAAGGCAAAAGCUUUGGGGGUUCGGCGCUUGCUCAUCCGAACAGACUCCAAACUGGUGGCAAGUCAUGUUGACAAAUCCUUUGAGGCAAAAGAAGAAGGCAUGAAGAGAUAUCUGGAGGCUGUUCGGUCUAUGGAAAAGUGCUUCGCCGGCAUAACGGUCGAACACUUACCUAGAGGCCAUAAUGUGGAAGCAGACACCCUGGCGAAAUCUGCCGCCUGUGGAGGCCCGCAUUCGCCAGGCAUCUUUUUUGAAGUCUUGUACGUACCAAGUGUGCACACAGAAAGCCUGGACAUCAUGGCAAUCAACCAGGCAGAACUGGGCGAAGACCCAGAUGACUGGCGAACACCGUUCGUCAAGUACCUCAAGAACGGCUGGCUCCCAGAGGAGGAAGCAGAAGCGAAGCGCUUACAGCUCAGAGCCACAAAAUACAAGCUUGUCUCCGGCUAGCUGUACCGCUCCGGGGUGCUCCAACCCUUACUUCGCUUCAUGUCCUUCGCCGAAGGAGAAGAAAUGGCGAAAGAAAUACAACAGGGGCUGUGCGGUGCACAUCAAGCCGCAAGGACAGUCGCCUCCAAAGUGUUUCGCUAGGGAGUCUAUUGGCCCACCGUGCUGAAAGUUUGUGUUGAGCAAGCCAGGAAGUGCGAAAGCUGCCAGCGGCAUGGCCGAAACCAGACUGCACCACAGUACGAGCUGCAGCCUAUCGCACUAGUAUGGCCUUUCGCCAGAUGGGGUCUUGACAUCAUUGGCCCAUUCCCUGUAGCAAGAAAUGGGUAUAAGUUCGCAAUUGUAAGCAUCGAAUACUUCUCCUGCUGGAUCGAAGCCGAACCACUCGGUGCGAUCACUUCAGCAGCGGUACAAAACUUCGUGUGGAAAAACAUUAUUUGCCGUUUCGGAGUGCCGAAAGAGUUCAUCACUGAUAACGGCAAGCAAUUCGACUCCAACAAAUUCAAAGAAAUGUGCAAGGGCUAAACCUGGAAAUCAGGUUCGCCUCAGUCGCGCACCCACAGUCAAAUGGGGCGGCUGAGCGCACAAAUGGCAAAAUUCUUGAGGUGCUCAAAAAAAGGCUUGAGGGGGCGGCGAAGGGUAAAUGGCCAGACGAAAUGCUAUCCGUUCUUUGGGCCCUUCGAACGACCCCCACAAGGCCAACCAGGUUCAGCCCGUUCAUGCUCCUCUAUGGCGACGAAGCAAUGACCCCGACUGAACUAGGGGCUAACUCGCCUAGGGUAGUGUUCCCGGGAGGCGAAGAUGGGCACGAGGUGUCACUAGAACUCCUUGAAGGGAUAAGAAUCGAAGCGCUGGAACACAUGCGCAAAUACGCUGCAAGCACCUCGGCAACGUAUAACAAAAAAGUUCGACCGACAGAACUGUUGCCUGGCCAUCUCGUUCUAAGGAAAAAGGCGAACCCGGUGGCGGUCGGGAAGCUUGAAUCAAAGUGGGAAGGGACGUUCCUCAUCAAGCACAGAUCCAGAACGGGCUCCUUUCGCCUAGCAACGCUGGAAGGCGAAGAGUUCGACCACUCCUGGAACACUGCUUCCCUCAAGCGUUUCUAUGUCUAAACGGGUGGCACCCAAAUCGCCAACUUAUAAAAAUGUACAUAUUUGCUAUGUAAGCCUUUCGACACUAUGUAAGCCCUUCGGCACAAAAAUACAAAAAAAAAGAGAGAAAAAAAAACUGGAUGUAGGGUCAUUAUCCACCUUGCAGGCCCAAACCAGUAUAAAAUCUUUGUGUUUCUCGCCUCUUUACCUGUGUAAAUGAUAAUUCGUGGAAAAACCCCAAGGCAAACGCCUAAUCAGCGAAAACGCCAGGGGGGCGAAACGGGCAAAACGAAUCGGCCGAAGCAUCGCUCGCCGAACGUUGAAACCGCGAUAGCUUAUUUCGGAAAUAACUAACCGAACACCGUUAUACUCGAUCCAUGUAAAAACAUAAGCGCUCCUUUCAGCGCGGAACAUCAUAGAUCGAAAACGGAAGUCGAAAGCUGAAAAGUCAGCAUACCUAUUUCGUUAAUAUACGCAACGGGGCCGACAUGUUUCGACGCAAUGAAAGCACAGAAGGUGACAAUGCAAAAAUAGCGAAAAGGAAAUAAAACACGCCUUUAUUAACCUCGAAAAUAUAAUCGAAGGUUACAGCCAUACAACAUGCUACAAGCAUAUAUAGCAAAGGCCUCACAGCCCAACUUACAAAUAGAUUACAUCUUCGCCCCCACAAUCAUUCUCUCUAUCUAAGGGAUGAUCGAGCGAACUACGUUCCUCAUCACUACUAAUAUUAUACACGACCCUAAGAGGAGAAGGGGGCGAAACACAGACUAAAUUGUAACGACGUUGGGAGAUCGCCUCCUGCCGAUCAGUUUUCUGAUGGUUUCACCAAAAGCGAGCCAUAUCCUCCAAACGUCUUGUACGAACAAAAUCGUAAUCUUCUAAGGUUCGCCCGGGGUGCGCCCGCAACCAGCCGGCAACCAUAAAAACCUUAUAGCUGCGACCGUUUAUCUCCAUUUCGCGAUAAACAGGCCGGAAUGGACAUCGCACCUUCGGCAGACCCUUCAAUGCCACAAAUUCCUCGUUUUGACUUCGCCAGCUCCCAGAAGGGGGCCGAAUGCACGACUUUCGGCAAACACCCUGGUAGACAGUGCAGAAAGGGCAAAACACAAUUUACACAAUAAAAAAAGGCGAAAGGGUUAUACUUCGCCAAGUAGAAUAAGGGAUUAUAUUAAAAGAACAGCUUGAAGCCGAACAGGCAAAAACUCUAUAUACAAAAACUUAGACUAUAAGAAGGUCCGAAAGGACCAAAUAAAAAAUAAAAAGACACGAGGGCGAAGGACCUCACACCUCAGGGUGGUCUUGGCCUCCGUUGCCUUCGCCCUCAUGCUCGGGGGACCGUCCCGACGGCCGGACAUCCUUUUCGGAGUUGGCGGCAGCGCCCUCCUCGUUCCUCACGAUCCUCUCAAGGUUCUCGCAAAUUUGAACCUUCGCGCAAUCCCGGCCGCCAUCCUCCCAAAACCCCUUCCGAAAGGCCCUUAACGCAGCCCCGGAGUACUGCGUGUUGCUAGGCCAUUCCUCCUUCACAAAAUCGGGAAAUUCUUGGAUGUGAUCGCAGCCGUGCGCGUGCAAGAGGCUGAGAACGAAUCCCGCCGAAACGCGAGCGCAACAGUCCCCGUAAGCACCUGCCACUUCGACAACUGAACCGGCCGCCUCCUGCGUCCAUUCGGAAAAAUCGAGUGCAGUCCCACCUUCGCCCGGAGCAUCUUCCGCCCGCGCCCCAAGAUCAUUAAGGGCCAGGCGGAGAGUAUAGCAGGCCUCCUUGGCGGACUCAGUGGCUGGUGCCAAAGUUGCGGCAGUAGCUUCGGCCGACGCAACGCAGGCUUCGAGGGAUUUAAUCUUCUCCUCGGCCGAAGCAAGCUGACGGUCUCGUUCGGCAUUCCGUUCGCAUGCCGCUUCAAGAUCAAAGCGGAGAGACCUGUUUUCAGCAUUUGCCUUUUUCAAAGUAUCUGCCACAACGCGCCUCUCGUCUUCCUUGUGCCGAAGAUCUUCUUCGGACUUCCGAAGGCGAAGGCAGUACCCAUCAAGCCGCUCUAGGGCAGACUUCUUGGCGCUUAGAUGCGCAGCAAGGCCCUGACAAGAAAUAUAUGUUACGUCAGAAAGCUUGCGAAAGAGCAGAAUUCGGCACAAAAAAAUAAGUCAUGCCCGUACGAAUAGACUUUCCACAGCUGCGCAACUUUCGCCGAACUCGUUCAGUUCGGUGAAGAGCCCAAGGCCUUCGGUCGGCGCUAUGACCUGGCACACCCCAUCUACGAACGGAGUGAUUUCAGGCCGCGUGGCGAAGUCGACGGGGAUGAAGUGUGGGGCGGUAAGCGUCACGUCCGAAAUGCUACCUUCAACCGCUGGGGCCUUCCCCUCUCGUUGACGAAUAGGUGACGGGACCACAACGAUCCGUUCGCCUUCAGCUAGGUUCGUCCCAGCGGCCGGAACUGAAGCACUCCCGCCCGUUGCCGCUUCGGCAUCACUAGCAGGUGGCGGAGACAUGCGUCUACCACGGGAUGCCGCGCGUUGCAGCACUGGCGAAGUAGGGGUCCCGUCGGACCCUUCACUGUCCGAAAAGCCAUGCCAAACCUGCACAACCUUCCCCUUCUUCUUUUUCCUUCUAACGGCCAUCAUCGGUUUCACGGCCGUGCUGGAAAUCACCAAAAGGGUGUUCGCCACGACGAUAUCCUAUGGCCGCGUAGGCGAAACGUGCGAGCCUGCACUAUAUUUCGCAAGGGUAGGGCAGGGGGUAUAGCCAUGAGAGGCAUCCUCUUCAGAACCGACAUCGGCAUCCUCCUCUUCCUCCUCCUCCCCAUCACUUUCGACGACGGCCUUCGUGCUACGGCAAGUUCGGAUUUGGCCGCCUUUCACGAUCGCACGCUUGCGUUUUCUCGAAGUGCCAGCCUCAUCAUCGCCGACCUGAGAGGGUUUCAAUCGGCUCGGUAAUUCGCCAGCAAAGACACGAUUCACUCGGCCGUCGGCUUGGCGCUGAAGCAAGCGGGUGAACUCGGCUCUAGUCAGAGUACCGAUCAUCUUCGACGCCUCAAAUUCAGCGUCUUCCAAAGUCCGCACUGCGAAAAGAGAGAAACACAACCGUUUAGCCUACAAAGUGCCUUCGUAAAAGAAGUGUGCGGCCUAAGUCAAAAACAAAAAAAAACCUUACUCUCGGCCCCUGCAGGGAGAACAAGGCGGGGAAGCCCAAGAACUUCUUCGCCCUCAUUCACGGAAACAUCCCACGUGCGGGCGAGAGGCGAAAUUCGAAGGAGACAAAACUCCUCGCAAAGAUCCCUGGUGCUGAGCCGUCGGGCAACUUUGCGAAGGAAAAUGAGCCGAGACUCGAGAGUCCCAUCGAUCUCCACGGUUGGCUUCGCAUUGAUGGUGACAGCAGAAUGCUCAAAAGGUAGCCAGUUCGCCUGAGCAUCUUCGGAGGAAUAGGGGUUGUUGACGUAGAACCAUUUCUGCAUCCAAUUCCUAUCCCAUUUCGCCAUCGAUAUGGGCACUGGCCAAGCAUCUGAACGCUCCAGUCGAAGCAUGAAGUUCACGCAGCCAAAAAUGGUUUUCCUUGGACCCGCCGGUGUCUGCACAUCUUUGGUCGAAGCGCAUGCAGUGAAUAAAGUGGCGAAAAGCUCGGCGGUAGGGACAAACCCACAAGUCCGGCACAUCCAAGCAAAAACUGCCAGCUUUGGGAACGCCGACGGGCUAAGCUGGGGAAGCUUGACCUCAUACAUCAAAAGCACUGAAGGUAAGAAGUCAUCGCAUGGAAGGCGAAGGCCAGCAGUGAAGUAUGCGGCGAAGACAACCGUUCGACUAUCCCCAGGCUCUGGCACGCGGCAAAGGGCAGCCGAAACGGUAAAUUCCCAUCGGAACAAUGCCGAACAGUAAAAGCCCGAGUACGGAAAAGGAAAAGCCCAUGGAGCCCAUUACUAUUCAUAGUAAUAAAAGAGCCUUUUUAAAAAAAACCUCCUUUCGACGUCCUGCAACCAAUGCGAAAAGAAAUUUUUUCCUCAAAGAAAUUUUAUCUAAACACAAAAACUAACAAACUCUGUUUACAGGAACAAUGUAGAUUUCGGCGGGAACAUCAGCCGAAAGGGGGCGCCUCAUACCAUGCCACAUGGUUUGCACGGUCUCGGCUGAAGGGCCUCAUGGCAUGCCUCCAACAUAGGGUUUGCUACAAGUUCAGGGGAGGAGAUAGAGGGAGGAGGGCCUAGCCAAGCUUUGGCCAAAUAACUUUCUCACGUGCAUGUAAACCGAAAUGAGUUAUUAACAUAUGAUUAAUUAUAUAUUAACUAUUACAAACUUGAAAAAUAAAUUUAUUUAAUUUUUAAGAAAAUUAAUAUAGAAAGUUUAGAAAAAAAAACACACGCUUAGCAGUUUGGGAAGCAUGCUCACGAAUUCAGCCUAAUGGUGCCUUAUGGUUUUGGCUGAUUAGCGGCACACAAAAUAAAAAACAUUAUUAGCAUAUGAUUCAUUGAGUAUUAAUUAUUAAGAACUUGAAAAUUGGAUUUAUUUAAUUUUUUAAAGCAUUUUCUAUCUAGAAAGUACUUUUUUAUGAGAUACAUCGUUUAAUAGUUUGAAAGGCAUGCUAAUAGAAAAUGAGGAGCAGCCAAGCUCAAUUUAGCUAUUGAACAGGCCUAAGGCUUAGGUGUUAAGUUGGAGAAAAUGUUGUAGGAAUGUUAAAGGCCUAUAACGUUAUAUCUGUUUGAAAUUUUUCAAAACAAAUAACCGAAAAGGUUUCCCAACCUAUAUAGAAGCAACUAACCAUGGAGAAUAUUUUUUUAAAUCCAGACCGGCAUGUUAGAGAAUAAUUUUCGAUAGGCAAAGUCGUUUUUUUGGCAUUGAAACCUUGGUCAACAUUCCAACCACAGUUCAUGGUGGUUUUGAUCAACAUGCUAUAAUGGUUUAUCAGCUAACAUGAAUCGGGCCUUAGGCAAAUUUUGUAGUUAUGGAGUUUAAAUUCAGUAUCCACAUUAGCCAAAACAUGCAUAAUAAGCAUAUGCUCCAGGGAAAAAAAUUGUUUAGCACGUUAGUUGUCCUGUUUUGAAAAUUAACGGUGUUCUAUAGUUUUAGAGCCAAAAAUCAUUAUAUGUUUACCUACAUAAUGCUUCGUAUCUCAUCGAAACUCAAAAUUAGACAAUAACUAACUUAGUAGAGUUGGUAAAGGCCUAUGUAUCCUUUCACUGUCCUACCAAGCCCUCGUAUAUUAUUAGGUCAAAAAUAUAUAUAAUUUGGUGGCCGAAGGCGGUGGAGGUGGUUCGCUCGAACCCCUGUUACAGCUAAACCAGCCUUGGCACCCCCGGCUGCCUCCUUGCACGUGGCAACUGCCCAUUGGUUGGUGAUGGCAGUUGUGGGUGAACCGAUCUCCACAGCCAUUAUUGGAGGCUAUAAAAUGAGGAGCUCACUCACUUCCAAAAUGCAUAACAAAGGGAAAUACAACCCCAUUUUAAGUUCUAAGCAUGACUUCAGUACGUGGAAUUAGAUGGUGAGUGAGAGGAAGCUCCGGAAGAAGUGACCUAAAUAUCGGAGUUCUCUCAAGGAAGUUCUAGAGGAGUGUCGGGUUAAUUUGUCGACAUUCUUCUGUUGGAUUUUGAUCAUAUCAAAUAUCAACAUAUGUCUAUAUAAACCGAGUUGCCGCCUCCUCGCAACACACCCAAAAAGCAAUCUAGGAUUUUGCCUCCUCCUUUGGACUGCACCGUCGCUUGUAGUCUACUCUGUUCCGCUCGCCGGCGUGGCAUCGAUGAUUGGCAAUAAGGUUUUCAGAAAACGAUUCACACGACCGCUUGAUGUUCAUCCACCACGGCUCGUCACUCAUCGUUCGAGUGCUACAUGAUGUCGACAAUGCCCAGUACCAUGUAUUGUUCCUGAUGUGCAGCUGAACAUCCUGAACCCUCGAUACGUAUUCACAUUAUUUCAAAUAUUCGAUCUGUUCAUGUUUUACUAUCUAGUUUACGUGCGAAGAUCGUAUGAUGUGAUUAUGCAAGUUUACAUGUUUAAUGUCGUGAUUUAUUUUUGGAAUUAAUUAAAUCGAGAUGUACUUAUAUUUUGAUCAUUAAUUAGCAAGUAAAGCUAGUUGGGCUGUAGAUGUAAGGAUCUGAAUGCAUUCCAUAAAGAGGUAAGAAAAUAAUUGCAAUGGGGCGCUGCAAAAAAUCACUCUCACUAGUACAAAAAUGAUCAUAGGUGCCGGUUGGGAACCGACUAUAGAUGUUGGUUGGGAACCGACGAACCAACACCUAUUGGUUGAAUACAAGCAACCGACACCUAUGCGAAAUAUAGAACCAGCGCCUAUAAGUUUGCACAACCCAAUAAAAAAGAGUCAGCUCGAAUCGAGCCGACCUCACAAUUGCCUUCACCGCGCCAUGCCCCAUAUAGAGUUGCUCCUGACAUUCCCAAAUCAAAUUAAAAUCCCCAAAUCCCCACAAAUCACAGAUCACAGAUCGAAUGAACAUACUCAACAACAAAAUCAUCCACAAAUUCACAAAAACAUCUAAAAAUCCCUCGGGCACCGCCAUCGCCGCCUGCCGCCUCCGCUCCAACCGGAUCCAGCAGAGGGGAGGGGUCUGCCGCCGCCCGUCGCUCCCGACCACAAUUAGAGAGAAGAAGGACAGACAGAGGAGGAGGAGGAGGAAAGGGAGGAGGAGGGGUGGAUAAAUUCGCUGAUGAGGAUACUAGGUCCCGAUCUUCCGAUAGGUAUUGAUAACCCUCGAUUUGGUAGAAACUUGACACACACGAUCCAGCUUCCGAUUAACACGAUCUGAACCCUGCAAUCGCAGAACCACGCCUCCUCUGGUUAUCAACCGUGCCAAAAUCCGGUUGGCCUCGCCAAGAAGGCUAAUCCCUGCAUGCGUAUUGAAGAACACAAUCAAGAACAAGAUAGAUUGCAACAUAAUUGCAUAUGAAUGAUUAAGCACUCGAAUUUGGGGUUCCAUAAACCGAUCUAGCAGCGAAACUGCAAUGGUAGAAAUAAUCUAAGCAAAACCCAACUCUAAACUAUGACGACUAUUGAAUAAAUAUGAUUUGGAACGUCCUAGGGUUGCCCUAGGGGAGCAGACUCCCUUGGGCUUAGCCCAUGACACAAUUACAGGGCCCAAGACCCAAAUCAGAUUCGGACUGGAUGAGAUACGUGGCUUGUUUUGCAGAUUCCCGACAGCUUGGUGGGAAUUCUAACGUGGGACCAAAACCAGCUGAAAGUAGAUGCCAUAAGCUUUCCAACAAGGGCUUAUGGGCCCUAAGAUUCCUUCUAGAUUAGUGGCUAGGUCCAUUCGAAGUUGAUACUGUCAGGAGGCCUGAACUCGAAUCAAAAACAUGCAGAAUUUUAUCUCGUCUUCCAUUGACUAAAAGUGACGUGGUGAGGUAGGAGUGGACUUGUAGAAGGUCUUGGUUUGGUCCCAAUCAACUUGAAUUUUGACGUGGGACCAAAACCAUCUAAAGAUAGACUCCAUAAGCUUUCCAACACGUACUUAUGGGCCCUAAGAUUCAUUCUAUAUCAGUGCCUAGGUCCGUUUGAAGUUGAUACUAUCAGGAGCCCUAAUCCGAAUCUAAAACGUAUAGAACUUUAUCUCUUGUCUUCUAUGGACCAAACGUGACGUGUUGAGGUAGGAGUGGACUUGUAGAAGCUAUUGGUUUGGUCUCCAAUCAACUUACUUGAUCAUCCAUACAUUCCUUAUGUUCGGUCUCUUUUCUUUCACCCAAGCAAGUACUAGCUCCAAAAACGAAAACACACGAGACUCAUUGCAUAGCAACAUUUGUUCAAAUAUAUAACAAGUAAAUCUAAUAAAGAACAUAUGCACAUUUGGUUGAUGAAUACAUAAGGUAAUCAUGGUCAUAUCCGAACUAGUUGGGUCCUCAUUAUUCGCUACCUGCAGCCUUCCCUCCCACCGGAUCUAGUGGAGGGGAGGGCUAUGUGGCCGCCCGCCGCUCCCGGCCACAAUCGGAGAGGAGGACGGACGGAGGAGGAGGAGGAAAGGGAGGAGGAGGGGGGAUAAAUUCGCCGGCUGGGAGAGGGGUGCGGAGGGGGAGGGGGAAGGGACGGUGGUAGAGGAGGCGAUGGGGGGAGGGGGCAGAGGGGAGGGAGGGGACGGCGUGGCGGAGAAGUGGAGAAGAGCAUCGAGAGAUGUGCACAUGCGAGUGGAUAAGGAGAGACAUGCGCGUGGAUAUAGGCACACGGCCGGCCGACUCGGCAUGCCCGUGUUGGCUCGGUUGGGUAUAGGUACCGAUUUUUUAAAAGAACUGGCACCUAUAAUAUAUUAUAUGUGUCUUUUAUAUUUAACCAAUACCUAUAUUAUUUGUGUCGGUUUUUUAAAAAAACUGACACCUGACUGGCACCUAUAGUUCUUAAAUGUGCCGGUUUUAUUUUAACCGUGUGGAGAUGGGAAAGGCCUACAUGUGCUGGUCUUUACGAGGUUUUUUGUGUACUAGUGUCUUAUCUUUGUCAAUUAGUAGAGUGAAAUCUCACUUAUUCAGCAGCUGUCACAUUUUUUCUCGCGUGUGUUUUUAAUGACGCCGGGCCCUCUUAGGUCAUAAAGUACGAUUCAUGUAACUUGAUCCACCAUCUUCUUCUCGGAUGCUGUUGCCGCCAGAGCGAGACAUAAACGACGGCGACAUCACGAUAAGGCCAUUCCCAACCCAAUGACUAGGAUGGUGUUCAUAGCAUAAAAUAAGUUACCACUUAGGAUGAAAAAUAAUGUGGCAAGUGAAUAAAUGAGGAAAGAGAAGGAAACCAUGUCUUGCAUGGGACAUGGUUUCUACACAAUAUCCAAGACAUCAUGUGAGAUAAGUAGCAUUAAAUUUAAGUAUAGAAUAGUAGUGUCUAGUACUAGUUUUUUUGAUGAUGUGGAGUUUAUGGAAACUAUGUUAGCGUCUUGGGUUGGGAAUAGCCUGAAAGUCCUUUCGCAUUUCAUUUUCCAAGGAACAACAAUAAUUAUCUUACAUUAUUACCUUCCAAUAAAUGGUUUUUUUCCUUGUUCCAAUGCAUACGGACACCAGUGACAAGAAUAAGCAACAGAAUUGAUGAUGAAAAUGUUUGUACAUUAUGGCAGUCCCAACCCAUAGUAUCCAUAAACAGUGUCUAUGGUGCCAUGUUAAUAAAACAUCACAAUAGAAACUACACUCUACAACCCAUGGUUUCUUAAAGUGAAACAUUAAUAAAUACAUCAUCUCUCUUCUCUACCAAUCAUAUUUAUUCUUCAUCUAUUAUAAAGACACUAUUCUCUCCCAAUGCAAAACUUGAUAGUAUCUAGUGCAUAGGUUCUCGUGUUGAAGCUGUGUCUUGCAUGAGACCCAGUUUCUUCCUCUCUUCACUCUCUCUCUUAAUUAAUAUAGUGACACAUAAGUUAAAAGUCCUACCUGGCAAUAUAGUUAAUGCUAUAGACACCAUCCUAGGUGGAGGGUUGAGACUGCCCUUAGUGCUACCUUUCAAUCUUUACAGAGACUUUUUACUUGAAUAAAUUAUUCCCAAUGAUCAGGGCCAACUCUACUUGGCUAGUUCAGAUCCAUAUGAAAGGAAGGAUGUUGAUUUGCCCGCCACUGAUCAAUACCCAUGUCCAUCCCUCUAAAGUCGCCCCGACCACCCUUUACUCCUUCCAUCACCUCUCAACCCUAAUACCGUGAACCCUAAGUUCUCUGUCGGCAUUCCAACUCCGUCACAACCGUUGGUGAAUCUUCUCCCUCUCCUGUGGCUCAUCCUUUCGAGGGGGAGCAGAUCACCUGAAAAUUAGCAAAUCCCAAUGUUAUAGGUGGUAAAGUUAGAGUGUGUUACAUCGUCAGUUAUAUCUACAACUUUCGUAUAUAUAUCAUAACAUAAGCAAUGUUAUGGGUAGUGAAGUUAAAGUUGCAAUUGCAUGAAAUUAAUUUGUGCCAGUUCUUCCAUGCUCAUGAAUAAGCAGCACUGGUUAAGUGGAUAUUAUGUCUUCAAGAGCACGGCAAGUGUUUAGGGGGCACUUUUCUGAACAAAAACACACCUUUUCCCACUCCCCAUGGGCUAAAUAGGAGUAGUUAUCAUGGUCCUACCAGCGUAACCCUCAAGGCAGAGGAUAAGUUAGAGUCUUCACUUUAAUUUGUGUAACUUUAGUCCAAAAGAUGAGAUUUAGAUUCUCGUGCUCUUUUGUACCACUAGUGCUGAAAAGCUUCUCUCAAAGAAAAGAAUUAUACUGAAAAGAACGUUGCAUACAACCAAAUUGUCCCAAUUUUUGCCACCAUCACUGUCUAUAUUGUUGCUAGCAUCGUUAAUCAAAUGUUACCACGGCUCGGUCUGUAAAAGGCAGAAAAGGUGGAUAGGUUGGCAGAAGCAUAUGGGAAAGGAGGAAGGGAGAAAUCAAAUAGGCGUGGGGGUGGAAGCUUUAGGGCAUGUUCAGAUUACCGACAAAAUCAAUCUUACCAAAAUUUGAUAUUAUUUCUGGUAGGUUGGAAGAAUUAUUAAAUUUUGAUAAAAUAGAUUAAAUAUGUUGUACCAUGCAUUAUCAAUAUUUGGUAACAAACUAAAUGCAGCCACAUAUUUGUCAAUUUUAUCAAACAAUAGUAUGGUUUAAAAUAUUUUUCAAUUUUAUCAAACAAUGGUAUGGUUUAAAAUAUCACCAUUGUAAACAGGCACAUUUAUUUUUUUUCCUCUUUACCAUACACAUCGCCUACCACUGAAAGCACAACGCCGUUAAAUCCUGGAAAAUUCGUUCUCAUGGGGAGUCGAAUGGUACUGAGGCACUUGUAACCACUAGGCUACAGGCCCUUUCAUAUAACACCUGUAAAUUUUUGUUACCUAGAAUUGCCAGAGAAAAGAUAACUCCCUGUAUUGAUAUGUUUGGGUGAGUUACUGAUGUCCUCCAGUCACCAACUGCAGACUGCAAGUGCACGUUGAGGCCUACCUGAUGCGGCACUCCAGAUGGACAACAACGGCACUACAAAUUGAAACCGGGUGUGACAAAGACUACAGCUAGGUGAAUCAACAUUGAGGCCCAAGAAAGACAGAGCUUAUUGAUUCCAGCAUAGCCGCACAGGGGUGGUGCUAACAGGGGCGGACCUAGGACCCAGGCACCAUAGGCCGUGGCCCAGGGCCUAGGGUUGAAAGCCCAUGGGCCACUGUGAAAUUUCAUCAUGGAUAGGCCAGGAUCAUGUAAACACACGAUGGUCUAGCUUGGGCCUUGCCUGUGGUCCAGGUCUACCCCUCACUAUCACAGAAAUGAUUUUUCUAGACGAGACUCUCGUUAGGAUGCAUACGGACCAUAACUGACCUCAUCUGCAAAAAUCGAUCAUCAUUUUCGUAUGAAGCUCCUUAAGAGACCCGUAUGCAAAAAAUAAUUUUUCACAGGCAGACCUCUUAAUAGGCCUGCAUGAGAAAAUAAUCUAUUUUUGUAGACGGGCCUCUUAAGAGGCCUGCAUGCAAAAAUAGAAUUACGUAUGUGGGCCUCUUAAAGACCCGCCUGCAAGUCUAAUCAUCCUUAUCUUUCCCGCUCAUCCUAUUCAAAAAAAAAAAUUGAAAAAUCUCAUAUCCGAUCUCUCUCUCUCUAUCUCCCUUAUCUUCUCCUUACUUCCUCUCCUCCUCUCAUCCUCACUUCCCGGCGACAAUGGGGGUGGCGAUGAUGGGCGGCGACGGUGACGGUGACGCGUUUGGGGAGUGGUAGCGGGAAUGGUGGUUGCGAGCUAAGGAGAGGCCGGUUGUCACGCCCAGAAAUUCACGAACCAGAAUUUCUAAGCUGAAUGUGCAUUAAACCCCUGUCCAGGACCAGCCAGGGUACACAAACGACAAUUGUUGACAUACAGAUCCACGUCUUACAAAAGUAUAAAAUAUUACAAAUGCAGCGGAAAAGAUAAAAGCGAGCUAAGUCUGAAGACUUGACUCCUGCAGCGGGCAACUCCAUUCCACAGGCAUCCUUGACGGCAGCGACGAAACCAACCUCUUCGAGACAUCUCCAACUGAGAAGAACUUCAACUCUGGUGUAGGGGAAAAGAGAGCAAGACUGAGUACUACCCACUGUACUCAGCAAGUCAUACCGGAAGAGGAGGUAUGAUGCAGGAUAUAUCCAAAGGAGGCUAAAGGUCCUUUUGCAUAAAGCUAGCAUUUAAAAACAGUAGUUGAAAGCAGUAAAACAGUUGUAGUGAUUAAUCAAUAUUAACCAAUCACUGCUCAACGCUACACCACGUUGAGUCAGGCCCAAACCACCACCUGAACUAACCAGUUCCAUUAGCUAACUAGGGGUGAGACUAACCACGGUGAAUCUGGUCGACCGCCCAUAACCGCGGGCACGGCUAUUCGAAUAGUUUUACUCUGAUCAGAGGUGUACAACUAUACCCACAAGACACAGCCCCACGACACGUUCCCAUGCGCCGACAUGCCACCACGACAUAUCGGAAAGAGGCCGUGACAGGACCCUUCGCAUAACCCCCUCUAACCGAUCACACCACACCUCAGGGUUCACCCCCGUCCCCAGCAGGCAACGGGCAGCCCCCUCUCGUGCCGCGGUGAAUCCGGAAGCCGAUCAACCGGACACCCCGGCCGACCCAACUCCAUCACUCCCACCCUCGCCUGGGUACGUCGGCUAGAGAAAAGCUACACUACAAGCCCAGCCGUUGCCCACGCUGGCUUGUGGUAAGCACGAUAAAUUCUUCCAGGGUUUCCCGCGAACCGGUCCUUAAUCACCAUGGGCACGACUAGCAAAACCAUGCACCCACAGCCCACCAUGUAGUGUAUUUUAAUUAACUAACACCAUUGCGGUGGCACUAAUCCAAAGCUAUUGCCAAUAAUCAAUGUCUAUGCAUUAAUGUGAUCCCCCUUUGUGUACUAGUUGAACUAAGCAUGGCUAAGCAUUCCCUAAACCAACAUCUAAGCAUUUUAAUACCCAAGUUAUCAAUGGCAUAAGGUAAACAAUAUAUGGCUGAGUAGUAGGACCCAUCCCCCAUGAUAUUGUAAAACAAUGCAACAUUUAAUAGAAAAAAUGCGGGACAUUUGUAAAUUGGGUACAAUAUGAUCAAUUGUAAUGCAUGACUUGCCUUGCUCUCGCACUGAUGCGACCACAGCAACGUCUUCGAGAAAACGUGGAUCGACGAAACGGCCGAAAUCUACGCGACAAACAAAGCACACAAGCAAAACAUGCUAUAAGUCUAUUGAAACAGGAAACAAAACCAUUUUUAAUGGAUUCUAUGCAUUUUUAUGAAUUUACUGAGACUUGAAUGGACUUAAUCGGAGCUCGGAUGAAUUAGAUAUGAUUCUUAGAAGAUUCUCUGUGUUUUUACUAUAAAAAGAAAAGUCCUUAUUUGUUUAUUGCGCAAUAAUCCCCAGGGCUGACGUCAUCAAGGAGGGGGGCGACGCCAACAGGUGGGACCCACAGGUAGGGGUGAAAACGGUACGGAAAUUUCCGAGAAUUCCGGCUACCGUUUUCGGUUUGCACCGACCGUUUCAAUCGGUAUCGGUAAUUGUCGGUAUCGGAAAUGGAAACGGUAAUCUUUUACGGAAAUGGUAGCGGAAAUGAUAUGGGGUUUUUUCCGACCGUUUUGUCGGUAACCGUUUUUUAUCGGUAAUUUCCGUCAAAUUUCCGACAAAAUUCCGAAGAAGGAAGUCGGCUGGGCCUGGCUAGCAGGAGGAGGAGCCCAUUAGGCAUUAAGGAGCAGCCCAUUCCGAAUAAAGAAGCCAACUAGGCCUGACCGCAUCGUCGUCUUCAUCGGCGCUGGGGCACCGCCGCGCCGUGUUGGGCGCCGCCACCAGGUCGCCGACGCCGGCCGCAACCUCCUUCGCCCCGACGGCCUCCGUCGCAGCCGGCCACCUUUCCCUCCCCCAUGCUCCACCGCCGGCUUCCGUGCCACCGAGCCAAGCGCCGAGCGCCGCCGCACCGCCCCAGCCUCCUCCUCCCCACCGAUGCCGCCCCUUUCUCCUCUCUCCUUCCCCCACCGCCGCCCUGCGCCAGGCCGCCAUCUCCGGCGCCUCUCUCCUCUCGGGCGCGCGUGAAGGAGCCAAAGGCAGAGAAGAGAACAAGAGAGAAAACAGAGAAGAAAUCGAGAGAGCAGGAAAAGGAACCGAGAGAAGGGAAGGAUAAGAGAGAGAGAAAAUAAAAGAAAGAGAGGAAAAGAAAGGCUGUGGGAUCCACCGGCGGGCCCCACCAUCUUGACUCCUCUCUGUGAUCGACCUGGAAAUACCAAAAAGUCUAGUUUAGCAUGAAACUUAAUUACAACGGUAGUUAUACAGUGUCAACAUAAAAGUUCUUAUGCAAUGUGCCACUGUAGGACGACGAUAUAGCUAUGUCAAUUGAUGAUGAAAUAAUGAAUGAUAUUUGACAAGGAGCUGAUCAGCUGAAGCCAUGCCAGCUUGUGAGCUUGGUGUUCUCGAAGACUUCAAAUCUAUAUCCUAAAAAAAGUCGGACAAUAUUAGUUAUGCUGUAAUCCUAUCAUAUAAGCCACAUUGUAUGCUUUAGCCACAUUGAUGUUGAAGUAUCAUUGAACUUUAUUUAUAUUAUUUGUCAAUCUUAUUGUCAACUUAUUAAUCAUUAUAUAACGGUGUUGUGUGGCAGCAUAAUGAUGCAAGGGUGAAAUUAUAAGGUUAUCUUCAUACAUAAUUAAAUGCGGGAUGAUACCACAGUUCGCUGUUUCCGACAUGAAUUUUCGACUUCCGUCCGAUAUCGGUAUAUUCCCGUUCCGACGGUUCCGUUUCCGAGAUACCGAUAUAACCGAUAUCCUUACCGUUUCCGAGUAUACGUUCUGAUUCCAUUUUCGAGAAAAUAAAAUGAAAAUGGAAAUGGUAGAGGGUUUUUCCGACCGUUUCCGACCGUUUUCAUCCCUACCCACAGGUCAGCGACUCAAAAGGAGGGGAGGUGGCGUGGCAAGUGGGCCCCACCAGGCGGUGGCUCAAAGGGGAGGAGGAAGGCGGCCUGGCUCGGCUCGGCUUCAAGCCGGCCGGCCGAUUAUGGCGGGCGGCGGCGGCACGCGCGGUCCCCAGCGACGGCAACCGGCGGCGCGAGAGGCGGUGGCGGAUGGCGACGGCGCGAAGGCGGCGGCGCACGGCCGAAGCGGCAGCUCAGCCCGGCUCGGCGCUCGGAGGGAGAGGAAGGGGAAAAGAGGGGGAGGGGCGGCUCACCGUGAGUUGGCCGGCGUGGGGGAAGACGACGGCGAACGGUGACGGCAAACGACCAGGGAACGACGGCGAUGGGCGGACGAGCUCCGAGACCACCUAGGGAACAAAAUGGGAGGGAUUAGAGGGUGAAGGGUGGUCCACGGCGGGCGAAAACCAUGGCCAAAGGCGGCGGCAAUGGUGGAAACUCACCGGAGUGCGAGGAGAUGCGGGCUCCGGUGACGGAAUUCACGCGAACCCGACGGCGGCGAUGGCGCGGCUCGGCGGUGGUGCUAGCGGUGGCGAGCAGUGGCCAGAGGAGUGGAAAAGGCGGCGGCGGCGGGUGUAGCGGCGUGGGAGCGAUAGAGGGCACGGGAGGGAGCGGCGGAAAGAGGAAAAAGAUGGAGGGGAGUGUGGGGGAGCUUUAUAGGGGCUCGGGAGGGGCGGACGUGGCCGGGGAGGCUCCCGAUUUCGCCGGCGACGUGGGAGGUAGAGAGGGAGAGUGGGGGGAAUUCAAAUUUGAAUCCCGCCCCUUGUAGCGGUGCGCGCGCGUGGGAGAGGAGGGGGAAACGGGCAGCGACGCAGCGACGUGGGCGCGGGAAAGGCGGGCGGCUUGGGGGCACGGAGAAACGGGGAAAGCGGCGGCGUGGGCGGCGGUUGCCGCCGGCUGGAGGAGGAAGACAGGGCCGACAGGUGGGCCCCACCUGUCGGUGACCCGGAGAGAGGAGGGAGGGAGUGGGCCGGCCCAACAAGGUGGGUGGCGCGGGAGAGAGGUUGGGCCGAUGGCCCAAUAAAGGAAAAAGGGAAAAAGAAAAGAGGAAAAAGGAAAAAAGAUUUUUCCUGGGAUUAUUUAUUGCGGUUUAAUGUUUUUAAUUGGUUAAAAUUAUUUAUUGAGCUCUAAAAAUUCCACUAAAAAUCUUGUUAGCAUAUUUUGACAUAUAGAAUCCAAGAAAAAUUCCACUUGCCGAUUCCGAUUAUUAUUUGCAUUUAUUAAUUAGGAUUCAACUCCAGGUUAAUUUAAACAAUUUCUUCGGGCGAUUUAUUUAACAAAUUUUAAAGCAAGGAGGGGAACUUCAGGGCGUGACACCGGUUGAGAGCUACGUGGAGGAGGUCAAGGAGAACCCAUUCAAUGGCUUCGAUUCGUGAGGGGACGAACAUCGGCGGCCGGAGGUGAGACACUAGUCGGGGCGAGGGCGAACCCAUUCAAUGGCUUUGAUUCAGAGAAAACGACGCAGGAAGGGGCGAGGUCUGCGACCACCUCGUCGGGGCCGUUGCAGCCGCACAAGCCGCUCCUUGAGCGCGCGACGGCGGCCACGGGGUGGCCUCGGCCGGUCAAGCAGAGGAAGAUGAGGAUGCAAAGGAGCAUACGAAGAGGAGGAGAGGAGCAGACGGACAAGAGGAUGAGGAUGCGGAGGCGAGGUGGGAGGAGAGGAGGAGAGUGGCCAUGGCGGCAACGAAGGUGGACGUGGAUCUAACAGGAAGGACAGAAAAGUGGACAGCGAUGGCAUGGUUAUAAUUUUACAAAAUUUAGGUGGCAUCAAACGGAUAUCGCAAAUAGUAGUGGCAUUUUUUCUAAUUUACUAUAUUUAUAAUGGCACGGAUCCAAUUUACCCUAUAAUUUAUGAGAAAAAUAGUUUAAAACUUGCUAAUUAAGUAUAAAGUAGGAGAGAGAAAAUGAUGGGGGAGGUUGCAUGCACAUUCGAAUGUGAUAUGCAUGCUGGGGGAGGGGAUGCCUGGUUUUGUAGAGAAAAAUCGGGUGGUCGAUCUGUAGUUGGAUCCAAAAUAUUUUAAGGCAUAGAUGGCACCAAUAUUGAAGUUUCAAAAAUAUUUUCAAAAUUUUUCGUGAUUAUUUGCUUAAAAUUUUAAACCUCAUAUUUAAAUCACUUUUAGUGUUUCAAACCUAUGUAAACCGUGACAAAAAGAAAUUAGAAUUUAAAGCUAGUUGGGCCGUCAAUGUGAGGAUCCGCGUACAUAUUCCAAAAAGCGGUCUGAAAAGAAUUGAAAUUGGGCCGUGCAGUCAAUCGCACCUGUAAUUGUCAACUUGCAGAGUGAAAUGCCACUUAUUCAUCAGCCAUCACAUUUCAUCUUGUUAGGUCAUGCGCUAGGAUUCAAGUAAGGAUACACCAGACAUAAACGAGGGUGACAACGACGAUGAAAGUCCUUUCGCAUUUCAUUUUCAAUGGAAUGAAAAUCACUUUACAUUAGUACCUUCCAACAAAUGUUUUUUUUCCCUAGGUAUUACCUGUGCCCUUGCAUAAGAGCACAGGUCACAAAAAUAAACGACAGAAUUGAUGAUGGAAACUUUGUACAUUAGUACUUUCAAUAUUUACAGAGAUUUUUUCCUUGAAUAAAUUAUUCACAAUGAUCAGGGCGAACUCUGGUUGGAAGGUUUAGAUUAGUGAGAAUGGAAAAGAUGUUGAUUUGAUAGCUGCGGGCAAACCGGGACCGAUGAACAAAUUAAUCAGGACAAACGAGCAUGUCGAUCUACUUGUCGGACGAGGGGACAUCCAAGGUUGAGUUUUUUUUUUUUUUUUGACAGAGGAAGUACACUUCUACCUCCCAAAGAGGGCAACUUUUUAAUAUUGUUAUGUACUACCUCCGUUCACAAACGGAGACAUAUAGAAUAUUAUAUUCCAAGUUAUUUAGUACUUUCUCUAUUUUAAAUUACUUACCUUUAGUUUCUGUUUUAGUUUGUACUAAGUUAAAUAUCAAUAUUUUUUUAUAAAUCCUUGUAAUUUAACAACAUCUAAGUUAUAUAAUAAGAAAAUAUUUCUCAUGGUGAGUCUAAAAAUUAUAAUUCUUAUGAUAUUAAACAAUAUGAGUUUAUAAAAUUUAAUAGAUAAAGAUUGAAAUGUUUGACUUAAGACAAACUAUUUUAAAACAGAUGUAGUAAUUGAAGUUCAAGAUUGAGUGCUCCUAGAAGUUCACUCGACUAGAAAAUACUCUUACCAUCCCAAUUUGAUCUUGAACUAACCAAAAGGCGAUGGGACAAAGAAAAAAACCUUCAUGGUUAUAAAAUUAACUCUCAUCAAUCAAUCAAGGUGCUCCCUCUCGCUUCGUCUCCCGUGAAUUACAUCAAGCGAAAAAUAUUGCAGUGAGUUGCACCAACAAAAUCUAAUCAUCGCUAGAUGCAUAUAUACUGUUGCACGCAUGAAGCUUAUUCAAUGACAUCCAUUUACUCUUUACACAAAUAGAAAAGGAGACAUUUAAGGUUUGUUUGGAGAGCUUAAGAUUUUGAGAAGUUGCUGGUUGCAACCAGCUUCUGAGGAGGCCAACACCAACACGCAAUAAGGAAGCCAUGUUAAAAUUUUCAUACUUUUCUCAAACUUAUAGUGAGAUAAAUUAAUUGUCAACCUAGCAUGUAUGGAAGGGUAUUUUGGAUAUAUUUUUAAAGAAGGCUCAACCCAAUGACAUAUUGUAGAACAACUGAUAAAGUUACCGGUAUAUUAUAGAAACAAUGUCAAUGAUAAAUCAUUGAACUGGGACAAACAUAGUGACAUAAAGUAGAUUCUCUAUUUGGUUACAAUCUUUGUAAUACUGGACGUUUUGUAUUUUUUGUAUAUAUUAAUAUAUUAAAAACUACUGGGUGAUCCCUGGUAGUAUUCCUUUAAAAAAAAGUAGAUUCUCUAUUAAGUAUUUCCUCCACCCAAAACAAAUGACCACUUUACCACUUAUGGUCUAAAUUAUGAGGGAGGUAAUAAUAUUUUUUAAUAUGGCAAAAUUAUAAUAGCAUAAGGAUCAAAUUUACCCUAUUAAAUAAGAGGUGUUUGUGCAUAGAAGUAUAAUUGAUCUAAGAUUGAAAAAAAUUAAAUGAGAGAUAAAUCUUAUCUUACUAUAAAGUUAUAAGCCACUAAUUAUAAAGCUCAAUAUAGAAACAUGCCACCUCAUCAUCCACUAGUAAUAAUUACAUGCAAAACUAAUGCAAGCAUGCAACAUCAUUUAUAAUUCAUUGAAUUCUACAAAUUAACAUCCAAUCAUCUCCCUUCACAUUAUUUUUCACAAUAUUUUUAACAUGUAUAUAUCCCUCAUUUUUAUAAUCCUUAACAUAUAUUCAUCCAUAUAAUCAAAGUGCGGGAUAUCAUAUUUCAUCUACAAUCUCAUACAUAGUCCAGUUGGAAUGUACUUAAAAGGGUGGAUAAAAUUUUGGAUUAAAGUGGCACGCUUUUCAAACUGCUAAAUGGUGCGUUUCGUACGAAAACUUCAUAUAUGAAAGUUGUUCUAAAAUAUCAGAUUAAUUUAUUUUUCAAGUUUGUAAUAAUUAAAACUUAAUUAAUCACACAUUAUUACCAUCUCGUUUUACGUGAAACACUUCAUCUUCAUCUUUAGGAGAUUCAAACACCCUCAUACAUAGUCUACUAAAUGUAUUUAUCUCUAAACAUAGUUUGACAAACCAGUUUUAUUUGUCGUUAGUAACUAAUAUAUAUAAUUUGUACUGUUUGCUCGAUUAUUAAAAAAAUAUUACAUGCUACUUAGAAAUUUUCACAGUAAAGCGCGGGGAAUCACCUAGUUAAUAAGAUAAGUAAUACUUUACACUACUAGAGAAAUCAUUAUUAACGACAGAAAAUAUGGUCGUUGAAAGUCCAAAUGUGGUCGUUAAAGGUCAUUAACGACCAUAUUUUGACCAUAUUUUUUGUGGUCGUCAGUGGUCGUUAAAGGCUCCGUCGUUAAUAAUAUUAACGAGCACGCUAACUUUUUUUCUGUCGUUAUUGUACUAACGACGGAGUUUCUCUGCCAUCGUCAUCUCUUUAACGACUGUGACAUUGUGACAUCGUUAUAUUCAUUAACGACCAUGAUUUGUGUCGUUAUUUUUUUUAACGAUGACAACACUGUGUGGUCUUUAUUUUAUUAAUGACGAUAUCACAUUUUUUACUAGUAAUGGUAAUGUAUUUAGAUUAACGAGAUGUUAAUAGACCAAUAAACGAAAUUAUUGACCACUCUUUAUUAAUCAAAUGCAAAUAAUUUAAUUCGUUCAUUACAUAUAAUUUGGAAAUGUACGUCCAUAAUGUACUAUACAUCUACAACUACAUGAAAGGUCUUCAACCCAGUCGUAGAACUCUUGGCUUGUUUCAUCCAUGUUGUGAACACUGCAAAAUCCAAGGUUUAAACCAAUCAAUACACAAAUGAAUUGUAAUAGCGAUAUGUGGAGUUAUAGGAGAACAUAUAAUUCAGCCUGUAUAAUAGAGCAGUCUGAAUGCUUAUGUUAUGAACUAGAUACUACUUUUACACCAAGCUAUGGUAAGUGUAAACCUAACAAUAUCUAAGUUAGGGUCAACAUUAAUAGUCCAUUAGUCUGUUGAUUAUUCUUAUUGAUUUCUCCAAAGCAUUACAAGUUGGGGAUGUAUGCUAUCUUAUUGAACUUGGAAAAAAAAGGAAGUGGCAAGCCAUAUACCAGACUAUCAGUGCAUAUCAUAUUGAUGUUGAUCAAAUCCAAGAAUGUUGAUCAACAUAUAUAAAUCAUCCUGCAGGAACCAUUGGAAAUAAUAACAUCUGGGCACACAAAAUAAGUUUCUUUGCACUUUAGCUAUGUCACACUGGAAUCUGUCCAUGAAGAGAAGGGAGCUGUAAUAUGAGAAACUAAACACAUUUUAAUAAAUCCAAAUGGAAGCAAGUGUGCUCUGCUACUGAUAACAUAGAGCAGGGCAAAUUCAUACCAAUAAGUAGAAUAUGUUAAAAAAACUAUCAACUGCCUGCAAGAAGCCAUGAAUUGCAGUACGGGAAGAUAAAUGAUUGAUUGAAAAUGAAAUUAUCGUUUUGUCAGCGGUAUCAGGGCCAUGCUAUAUCUUGUUACUGAACUGUAAACAUUAAACAAUAUGCCAAGAUGCCUCCACAAAUUUGCGUGUUCACAGAAGAAGAAUCCCGUAAUUUUAGAUAAAUAAACCAAUCACUGUAUAUUGACUAGAUUAUCCUGCAAGAAAAAUUGACUUUCCUCUCAAGUAUUAUGAUCAAACUCAAAAUCAUUCAGAAAGAAAAAAGAAGUUAUGCGCCAUGUUGAAAAAAAAUAUACCUUGUUGAGACUUCAUGGAUGAAUGGACAUGAGAGCAUGAAUGGAGGUCACACUGCCAUCUAUAACAAAUUCUAAGUUCAAAUCUACAAGAGUAGUACAAAUCACAAGCUCACUCAGUAUAACUGGUAAAUUAAACUGCAAUGGGCAAUUGGGCAUAGUUACAAAUUGUUCCUUUGAAAAACUAGCCUGACAGAUCAGCAAGAAAAAAUGGCUAUGUACUACAGGUCUUAUAUAUUCCUUCAUCUCAUGGAAGGAACAUAUCAUAAUCCUCAAGUUAAACAAUUAAACCCAGCCGUAAUUUGGAAAAUAGAAUUACAGGACGACAAGGGAUAUCAUGGAACGAACAUAUCAUAAUCCUCAAGCCACAACGCUAAAACAAGGCAGAGAAAAAGUUACAAGGGAUAUCAUCUGACCUAGUUCUGCCGUUCACGCCUCGCCGCUGUUCCAUGCCCAACUGCUAAGCCGCCGUUUUCGGCGAGUCAGAGCUGCCCCAACUGGGCAGGCGCUAGGGCUUGGGGCUUAUUGGCGGCCAAAUCUUGUCCUCGGGAAAAGCCUGGAGCGGGAGCAGGCGCGCAGGGAUGGCCGGCGACCGCUGGGUGCAGCGGCAGUGGUGACCAUGUAGGGGGCGUCGGUGCUGGUGCACCAGUGCAGCGGAUCUAAGCCGGCGGGGAAGGGGAUCGGUCCACCAAUUUCGUUAUCUAUAGAAAAUUCUGAACUGACGCCUUAUUAGCGACCACAUACAUGCACGUAGUAACGACCAGCGAUUACAUGGCCGUCGGAGGGCCUACCGCGGCUUCUUUGACUAUCAACGAUCAGAUGUUUGUUAAGGUUGGUCGUGAAUAAUCUAAGUUCUAGCAGUGUUAAAGUGGUCACUUAUUUUUGAAAAAAUCUUAAAUCAAGAGUGGUUAGUUGUUUUGAACGUAGGAGAUGAUUAAAAUUUGACUUAAUCUUUCCGAGAGUGUCCAUGUGAAAUGCAGGAAUUAAUGCAUGCAUGACAUAGGAAACAAAUAUUACGAGAAGAUAUUAUGGAUAUAUGAUGCGCAAUAUAAAGUACUAGUACAUACUCUCUUCGGUUUAAUAAUUCUUGACAUUUUGGAUAAGGUUGAGGUCAAACUUUUUAUAACCUUCUAAAAUAUUUAGUUUAAAGGCACUAAAACAACAUUAUAUAUUUGUUUUAUAAAGCACUAUAAUAAAAUUAAAAAUAUUUUUAUUUAUUGUAUUGUGUGGUACACAGUACUCGGGUACUCACGGCAAGGCCUUGGGCCAUGAAGCAUAGGGUGGACCGAGAACCCUAGGCCCAUACGGUAUACUUGUAAAUUAAGUAGAAGAUAGACGAUAAAACAAUUAAGUAGGUAUCUCUAAUUAUGAGGGAUACCGUACCAUAUCCACCCAGCUGACCUCGUAACUACUUAAGGGAUGCAAGGGGAAACACUAAAGGGUGAUCAUUCUCCACUUACGUGCUCACGAUCUAUUCCAACGCCAUGCAACGUAUACUUACGCAAGUCUAAUCUACAUUAGCUAGACUAGGGUAUUACCUCACGCCGAAGGCUUGAACCAAUAUAAACAUUUAUGUCAACAUCUCUUCUUGAUUUUGUGCACCAUAUAAAUUAUAUUGCCGAUUCUAAGAAUUGACAUGAAUAUAUUAUAAUUGGAAAAUAUAGUCAAAGAUAUAUUUUGAAAAUCGUGUCAUUGUCCAAAACGUCAAAAUUUAUAAAACUGGAGGGAGAGGGAGUAUGUUGAACUAAUUAAUGGGGCUAUAAUUAGUACUAUCUCCACCGUCUUCAAAUAACAUUUUCUAGUUACUAUUUAUAUCAGACUAAUCACAUAUUUUUACCGUGAAUUAAAAUACUUAAAAAUAUGAAUAUUGUAAAAGUCAGUUGGGAUUGGCUGCGGUACUAGAUCUGCAGUAGCUGCGACUGACAUAUGAAACCAGAUCAACCUAUUGAUCACUGCUACUACAAGUGCAAAACUAUUGAGGUUCCUCGUCCAGUCAGUGUGCUAUGUAAUAAAUGUAACCAUACAAUUUUCAUUCAUCGCAACCUAAUCAUUUACGGUAGUUUUUCAAAAAAAAAAACUAAUUCAAUUAAAAGUUAUUGUGUUAAGGAUUUCUUUAGAAAAUAAAAUAUUGACCAAUGUACCAUUCACUCUAAAUUAAUUAAGCUAGUUGGGCCGCGCCAUCCAUGCAAGGAUCUACAUACAGAUUCCACAAAGAGGUCAGAGAAAGAGUCGCGAUUGGGCCAUGAAAUCGAUCAGUCACACAUAUAUCGUAGUAGUCAAUCACGAAAGUGAAAAAGUCUAAUUAUUCAGGACGGCCGUGACAAGUGAUUUUAUUUAUAUAUAAGUCACGAAUUAUAAAAGGACGACGACACGCUUUAGUCUAUUAACAUGCAUGUGUUUAUAAGGGCAUCAACCUUAUUAAUUUAGUCAUGAAGUAUAUGUAGGAUUUUCAGCAAAGGGGACUUGAUGCGCCACCUUCUUCUCCUGUCGCUGCCGAAAGCGGGAAUAAUCAACGACGGCGACAACAAUUUUGGAAGUCAUUCUAUAUUUUUACCGUCCAAACGGUUACAGAGCCUUAAUUUCGGCUAGGUUCAGUGGAUAUGAACAUCGAUGAUGUCAAAGCUCUGAUGCACCGGAGAUAAACAGGGAAGCCUCGUCUUUUCGUUUAUACUUAUAUUUAUUAGUCAAAAUUUAAGAUUUUGAGGUUUAUUUUAGACUUUGCUUUUAGAUCGACAAGAACACGUAUAUAAAAGUUUUAUUUUUGUUUGUAAAUAUAUCGUUUAGCUUAUUCCACCAAACAGUCAAAUGAUAGGAUCAUAGGCCUGCUUAGAAGCAAAAAAAAAAAAAAACAAACAAAAGUAGCCCAACACCAGUGUAAAUUCCAGCAUGUGCGUCGGUGUGGUUAGAUGGAUGUAGUGAUACGAAAUGAAAGAUUUUGAGUCUCCCAUCGUAAAUUUUGAAAGAUGCACGAAUUAAGUAUCAAAAUUUAAAAUGCCAACUUACCAGGUGGCAGGAUGGAUGGACGGCUGCUUGUCCAAAACAUCAACAGCUUGCUUAGCUAGUGUUUUAUCCUCAAUUCAAAGUUGGAAUAAAAAUGGUCGGUAAUUAUCAGAAAAGGUCAUCUCCUAGUUUCAUUACCUUAAUUUUCCCUCUUUUUUUUUUUAGAAAUCGAUUCGGAACGGUGAAGCCGGCCGGAAACGGUAACGACAUCAUGUGAUCCACCAACGCAAAUAUAUUACCAUGUGAAAUUAAUGCAGGAAAUAUAUAUUAGUAGCUUGCGGUCUGUAAUUUUUUUGGCGUAGCUAGAUGAUGAACUAAUUAGUCAGGUGAAUUAAUCUGAAAUUCACAGGUUAUAGGGAAUUUAACCUUGUGUCUGAUACUCAGCAAUAUCAUCAAUUUACAUUCAUGGAAAUGAUCCAACAUUCCAACUCCUGGUUCAGACUUCAGAUUCAGAGUACCACACAAGAGAGCUGUACAGAAAAUAGAAGACUAAAAUCGCAAUUUGGCUCUAAAUUAUGUGGGCUAAGGCUGCUUCCAUUUCAAAAGUCUCUUAGUUUUAUGCGAGCACGCUUUUUGAAUGGUGACUUUUUCUAGAAAAAUCUAUAAAAAGAUUUCUUUAAAAAAAUUAUAUUAAUCUAUUUUCUAAGUUUUAAAUAAUUAAUACCUAAUUAAUUAUAAACUAAACGCUCACCUCAUUUUUGUAUAUUCUCAAUCUUCUUGUUCCCGUUUAUCUCAAUCACCCUAAGGUCCCACUUCUCUUUCCGUUUCCUUUUUUAAGAUGCCACUUCUCUUUUCUUUUGAACAGGAGAUCAUUGCCGCAUUUCUACUUUUCAGUUUCCACAUUGACAAAAUCAAGGGACCCCUCACAAUCAGAUUAAUUCAAACCAUGGUCCUUCAUAUCUUUCUAAUUAUAAAUCUUGAAAUAAAACUAGUUGAUAUCUAAGUACGUACUAUGUCUGUCCCAUAAUAAUUAUAUUUAUAGGAUUUAAAUUUGUCCCAAAAUAAUUAUCACAAUAAAGUACUAAUGGUCUCAUUAAUCACUUCAUAUUCAAAUUUCUUCCUAUUUUACCCUCAACUACUCUUCUACUUUUACCUAUACACUAUUUAAUAAGAUGUAUCAUAGUCCUUUUUCUCGAACCUUAAUAUGCACUAAACAACCUAGAAUUAUAAUUAUUUUAGGACGAAGGUAGGACCCUUUAACUAUGGACAAAGUAGGGUUAUAUAUGUGAUGCAGAAUUAUUAAAAAUAAGGUUCGAAUUUUACACUACAUUUAAAUACCAUUGAAUGUUUCCGGAUCAUAAAUUUAUAUCAUUCCGUCCAAUUCCACCGUCACUUUUAUCAAAGCUAACCUUUUUGCCCCUUUCUUGCCAUCCAUCUGGGCAGAGGUUCUUGAACCAAUUUGGUCUAUUUGUUUUUUUCUCCGGCGAUAAAAACUUUUAUGGCCGGCGAUAAAAAACAUACAAAGAGCAGUAUUGGAAGCAGAGCAGUUGCAGUUCUUAUUGAUAUCGUUCUCGCCACUAGCAAUAAUGAAGAGAAAGUAGUUAACGUGGUUAUUCACCGGAACUAACGAGCAUUUGCUGGAUGCACUCCCGAAAACCUGAUUCAUCUCCCGACGUAUUCAUCAUGAAGCUUGUUAGGAUGAGAUCACCGAAGCAGCAACAACAUAUGGGUGCAAAGGUCUAUAUCUAUGUGUCUUUCUCGAGAUUGUGAUCUAGCCAGUUGGGUUCUGAUUUGAUUUUUAUAGGGUAAACCAACAAUUUGAAGAGUCCUAGAAAUAGGAAGAGCGACGAAUAUUUUUUACUCUUGCAACACCCAUCCAUUUCAACUAUGUGUUUACGUCAGUUUAAGUAACAGCCGAAGACAAAGGGCAAGGGUCGCUUCCGUUUACUAGUUAUGCAAUAUAAACCACAUCUAUUAUCUAUUUAUUAUAUACUAAAAGUCCAUUAAACUUUCUACAAACGCUUUUAAGCCGUCACGUGGCAUCCUAUAAACGCUCUUAAAUUACCACGUGGCACUCUAAUAAACAGAUGGAUCCUUUAUUUUAACUAUUAGAUUUCUCUUUUUUUUUAAAAAAAAAAAGAACCCCACCUCCCUAUCCUCCCCCCCCCCCCCCCCCCAAAACGGCCCACAACAUUGAUAUUUAUUUUCCAAACAAAUAUGCAAGCCCUUUGUUUCGAGAUCUGAUCGAGUUGCCGCUGUGGUUUGUUACUGCUGCAGGUGAACUGAUUGAGGAGCUGGCGAGCGCGGCGGAGAUGGCCGUUCCGGAAGCACGUGCUUCCAUUCACACGUAUCAUGAGAAGAGCAUGCGUGCUUUUUCUAUGCUCGGCACUUUUUUUUUUCUCUCUAAGGUAAUUAAGUUAAGGCUUCAUGGUGUCUAAUUAGUAAGUUAAUUUCAUGCACUUGCAAAUAUACAUAUAGAUAAUAUCCACUGGUGGAGAAACCAUCUUUCGUCGGUCGGCCGAAUUCCACGAUAGUCCCGGUUGCAACAAAAACCGGGACUAAAGAUGAUCUUUAGUCCCGGUUAAAAAGGGUAACGGGCAUAUUUGAUCUUUAGAUGACCCUAAACCCUAAAGAUGAUCUUUAGUCCCGGUUCAAAUGUUGUCAGGGCUUGUCAGCCCCCCCGGGGACUAAAGAUCCCGGUGAUCUUUAGUACCGAUUGGUAACACCAAUCGGGACUAAAGUUACACCCCUUUAUAUAUGUCUUCUUACUCCUCCAGCCCGAGCAAGCUUCAAAAUUUCUUUAAAAAAGAGGGGAGGUCAUGCCAAAAUUUAUAGUGAAUUUACUUUGGUGAUUAUAUAUAAAUCGGAGGUGCCUAAAAGGUUAGUAACUUCAUCCUCCAAUAUUUUUUUUGGUCAUAUUACAUUUGGAGCUAUGUUUUGCACACUUUUUUGUCUCCAAAAUUUUGUUGUAAGUUGAUGAGAGAGAAAAUUUGUGUGGGAAAAGAAAGAAUAUAUAGAAAUUUUGUUUAUUUGCUAAAUAAGGUUUUAUAAAAUAGUUGAGUAGGAAAAUAUAGUGAAAGUUAAUCUUAAAUAAAAGAAAACAAACUAAAUUGAAAAUUAAAAGAAUUUAAAACUUAAAAAAUAAUAAAUAAGAAUUAUUUGGUGGAAUAUUUUAUAAUUUUUGUAUGAAUAAUGAUAUGUCAUUAUUGUAUGACUGUUGAAAGAGUUUGUGAUUAUUUUAUCAUUAUUGUAUGACUGUCAUUAUUGUACGAAUGAUUAUUUGUGUACGAUUUUUUUUUUAUUUCAUGAAGAUGGAUCGGCAAUGGAUGUACGCUGACCGGCGGUCCAAAGAGUUUAUUGACGGCGUGCAUUAUUUUUUGAGAGUGGCCGAAGCUAACAAGCAGAAGGGUUUUAUUUGUUGUCCACGCAAUAAGUGUAAGAAUCAGAAGGAGUAUUCUGCAUCCAGGACUAUUCAUUUCCACUUGUUUGAGUCGGGGUUCAUGCCAAGCUAUAAUUGUUGGACAUCCCACGGAGAGCAAGGGGUUGAAACGGAAGAAGAUGAAGUGGAAGACGACAAUAUUCCAGACUUUGCUCAGUACGCUAGAUUUGAAGGAAAUCAAACGGGCGAGGAGGACAUAGAUGCUGAUUAUAACGACGUUGCGGAUGAUCUUGGUCAGAUGUUGCAGGAUGCCAAGGAGGACUGCGAAAGUGAAAAGGGGGCCCAUAAAUUGGACAAGAUGUUAGAGGACCACAGAACGUCGUUGUACCCAGGUUGCGAGCAGAGGCACAAAAAGUUGGAUACCACUCUGGAGUUCUUGCAAUGGAAGGCAAAAAAUGGUGUUAGUGACAAGGCAUUUGGCGAUUUAUUGAAACUCGUCAAGAACAUUCUUCCGGAGGGAAACAAAUUGCCCGAGACAACGUACGAGGCUAAGAAGAUAGUCUGCCCUCUAGGACUGGAAGUUCAGAAGAUUCACGCAUGUCCGAAUGAUUGUAUCCUAUAUCACAGUGAGGAGUACGAGAACCUAGAAGCAUGCCCUGUUUGUAAAGCACUACGAUACAAGAUUAGACGAGAUGAUCCAGGUGAGGUUGACGGGCAGCUAACGAAGAAGAGAAUUCCUGCUAAGGUGAUGUGGUAUUUCCCUAUAAUACCACGGCUAAGGCGUUUGUUCAGGAACAAGGGGAAUGCUAGAAUGAUGCGUUGGCACGCUGAAGAACGUCAACAGGACGGAAUGCUGAGACACCCCGCAGAUGGUUCGCAGUGGCAAAACAUCGACAGAAAAUUUAAAGACUUUGGAAAGGACGCACGAAACAUACGGUUUGGUUUAAGUACGGAUGGCAUGAAUCCUUUUGGAGAGAUGAGCAGCGGCUAUAGCACUUGGCCCGUUACGAUGUGUAUCUACAACCUCCCCCCUUGGCUAUGCAUGAAGAGAAAGUACAUAAUGAUGCCGAUUAUUAUUCAAGGCCCCAAGCAACCUGGUAACGACAUCGAUGUGUUCCUAAGACCACUGGUCGAAGAUCUUAAACUGUUGUGGAAGAAGGAAGGUGUCCCCGUGUGGGACGAGGACAAACAGGAGGAGUUUAACCUACGAGCGCUGCUGUUCGUAACCAUCAACGAUUGGCCUGCACUUAGCAACCUAUCUGGGCAGUCCAACAAGGGGUACAAGGCUUGCACUCACUGUAUGGAUGAAACAGAAUGUACGUAUCUUAAGAACUGUAGGAAGGCUGUGUACAUGGGUCAUCGUCGAUUCCUUGUAGCAAACCACCCGGUACGGAAGAAAGGCAAGCACUUUGAACAUAAGGCAGACCACCGUACGAAGACUAAACAUCGCAGCGAGAAAACAGUGUUUUCUAUAGUGAAAGAUCUUAAAGUGGUGUUUGGAAAGGGGCCUGGCAGCCAGCCCAUAGAGAGCGAGGAUGGUCACGCGGCGAUGUGGAAAAAAAACUCUAUAUUUUGGGAGUUACCCUAUUGGGAAUUCUUGGACGUCCGCCACGCAAUCGACGUGAUGCACCUCACUAAGAACCUUUGCGUAAACCUUCUUGGCUUCCUAGGAGUAUAUGGAAAGUCGAAAGAUACACUGGAAGCACGUAAUGAUCUGAAGCAUAUGGAACAACGCGGCGACCUUCACCCGGAACCACAGGAGAAAGGCAGCCAUUACUUGAGUCCAGCCAGCUACACUCUUAGCAAGGCAGAGAAGGAAAGUAUGUUUCAAUGCUUGGAGAGCAUCAAGGUACCGUCUGGAUACUCCACGAAUAUAAAGCGAAUAAUAAGUACGAAGGAGAAGAAAUUCACAAACCUAAAGUCUCAUGACUGUCACGUGUUGAUGACACAGCUGCUACCAGUUAUAAUAAGGGGUAUCCUCCCAGACAAUGUCCGGGCAACAAUAACAAAGCUAUGUUCUUUCAUGAACGCAAUUUCGCAUAAGGUCAUCGAUCCGGAUAGGUUAGAAGCCCUUCAGAAUGAUGUGGUGCAAUGUCUUGUCAGCUUUGAGUUGAUAUUUCCACCUUCAGUUUUCAAUAUAAUGACGCAUCUGCUUUGUCACCUAGUGAAAGAGAUCGGUAUUCUUGGGCCUGUGUUCCUACACAACAUGUUUCCUUUCGAGAGGUACAUGGGCGUUCUGAAGAAGUAUGUUCGUAACCGUGCUCGUCCAGAGGCAAGCAUCGCCAAGGGGUAUGGAACAGAGGAGGUCAUUGAAUUCUGCAUAGAAUUUAUUGAAGACCUUUGCCCAAUCGGGGUACCUGAAUCACGCCAUGAAGGGAGACUACGGGGAAAGGGGACUCUCAGAAGAAAAGCAAUAAUGACGGUAUACAAUAAUUUAUUCCGUAAAACCCAUUUCACGGUUUUACAACAAUCUUCAUUGGUGGCUCCUUACAUCGAGGAGCACUUGGCUCUAGUUCGCGCCAGAAACAUCGGUAAGUCCGAUGCAUGGAUUACACGGCAUCACAUUGAUACUUUCCCCACAUGGCUGCGACAACAUCUCAUGGGUAACGAGACGAUUAACCAGCAACUGGCCUUCUUGGCGAGGGGUCCAUCUGGCUCGAUCGCGACAUUCCAGGGAUAUGAGAUCAAUGGGUAUACAUUCUACACAAGAGCCCAAGACAUGAAGAGCACGAACCAGAACAGUGCUGUUCGUAUCGAUGCCAUGGGACACGAUGGUACAAUUGGCACGUAUUACGGUGCCAUCGAGGAGAUAUGGGAACUUGACUAUGGACCUCUCAAGGUCCCUCUGUUCCGGUGCCAAUGGGUUAGGUUGACUGGUGGAGGCGUAACGAUUGAUGACAGUGGGAUGACAACGGUUGACCUUAACAACGUUGGAUACUCGGACGAACCUUUUGUCCUUGCCAAUGAUGUAACGCAAGUUUUUUACGUGAAGGACAUGUCUAGCAAAGGAAAGAAGGGCAAAGGGCCUGACUAGCCGAAGCGCCAUGUGGUUCUCCCAGGCAAAAGAAAAAUCGUCGGAGUAGAGGACAAGACUGACGAGGAUUACGAUCAGUUUGAUAGGCAACCCCCUUUCACGGUGACGGUUGACCCUAGCAUCCUCCUAUCAAACGAAGACACCCUUUACUCACGUAGCGAUCACAAGGAAGGAACAAUAGUGAGGAGAAAGUACGUGCGGACAACCGUCACCGCCGAUCUAUUGCUGUAAUUGUUGUAAACUAUUUUGGAUGUAUUGAAUAUGCUAGUUAUAUAUGAUUAAUUACAAUUUUUAACAAUUUAAUAUCAUGCAUAUACUAAUUAUAUACGAUUAUUAGAAUUUUUAAAAGUUUUAAAUCAUGCAUGUGGGAUUUACAUAUGUUAGUUACAAUUUUUAACAAUUUAAUAUCAUGCAUAUGCUAAUUAUAUAUGAUUAUUAGAAUUUUUAAAAGUUUUAAAUCAUACAUGUGGGAUUUACAUAUGUUAAUUAGAAUUUUUAAUGCAUUAUUUACUAUUUUAGAAAUAUAUAUGCAACAAAAUUCAAUAUUCAGUGCUAUUAACUUUAGUCCCGGUUCUUAACCCUAACCGGGUUUAAAAAAGAAUUUGGAAAUAGCGGGAAAAUAUCUUUACUCCCGGUUGGUGAGAAGAACCGGGAGUAUAUCUUUACUCCCGUUUCUUCUCAUCUUUAAUCCCGGUUGUUGUUAGAACCGGGAGUAAAGAUAUCUUUUACUCCCGGUUCUUCUCACCAACCGGAAGUAAAGAUCCGAGGGUAUAUAUAUUCCCGGUGCGCCCUCGUCUUCUCCACCAACACUUAGACGUUUUUCCAUCGAGAUCGAGCAUCGGCUUCUCCUUCGCCGCCACUGCCUAGGGCAACCCCGCGCCGACGCCGCCGUCGUCUCUCACCGUCGCCUGGCGGUAUUCGCCGCCUCCGCCGCAGACGCCGCCGCCGCGUCUCUUGGGUGAGAGCCCCCGCCCUCUCUCUCUCGAUGUAGCUCUCUGUCUCUCUCUCUUUCGCCGACGAACGCCGACGACGCCGACGCCGACGUACCCGCCGCGGCACGCCGCCGCCGCGCCCCCACGCCACCGGGCCCCCAUGCCGCCGCUGUGGCCCCCACGCCACCGGGCCCCCACGCCGCCGGACCGCGCCCCCACCGCCGCGAGACGCCGCCGCCGCUGCCACGCCGCCGCCGCGCCCCCACGCCGACGAUCCGGCCCACGGCGCCGGAGCGCGCCCCCACCACCGCCGCGAGACGAUGCCGCCGCCACCAUGCCGCCGCUGCCCCCACGCCGACGACCCGGCCCAUGGCGCCGGACCGCGCCCCUACCACUGCCACGAGACGAUGCCGCCGCCGCCACGCCGCCGCCGCCCCCACGCCGCCGGGCCGGCCCACGGCGUCGGACCGCGCCCCCACCGCCGCGAGACGCUGCCGCCGCGAACGAACGCUUAACGAACGUGACCAAACGCGAACGAACGCUUAAUGAACGCGAACGAACGUGAACGAACGCGAACGAAACGUUAAAGAAACGUGAACGAACGCGAACGAAACGUGAACGAACGGGAACGAACGCGAACGAACGUGACUGAAACGUGAAUGAACGUGAGUGUUAGUGAACGAACACGAAUGAACGCUUAACGAACGCGAACGAACGUGAACGAACACGAACGAACGUGAAUGAAACGCGAACGAACGCGAACGAAACGCGAACGAACGCGAACGAACGUGACUGAAACGUGAACGAACGUGAGUGUUAGUGAACGAACGCGAACGAACGUGAAUGAAACGCGAACGAACAUGAUUGAAACAUUAACGAACGUGAAUGCACUUGAACUAAAAGUGUGAGUACAAACGCGAGCGAAAUGUGUACGAACGAGAUAAUUAAACUGUUGUUGAACUUAGCAUAUAUAUAUGAUUAUAUAUACUUGAAAACGUGAAAUACAUUAUAUGUUCCUUUGCAUUUAGACUAAUACAUUUUUUUUUCAUGUUGUAGAGAAGACGUCAUCGUCGUCGUCCCUCAAGCCGAAGUGGUAGCUAGCCCUCGAAGGAAUUCGCGCAGGCAAGUGAUGUAAAGAUGUGAUUGUUAGAGAUAUAAUAUAAGAUUGUUAGAUUUGUAAUAUAAGAUUAUUAGAUUAUUAGAGUUAGCAUAUGUGAGUGUUAGAGAUUAUUAGAUUAUUAGACUUAGCAUAUUUGAGUGUUAGAGAUAGUUAGAGAUUUAAUAUAAGAUUAUUAGAGGUUUAAUAUACGAAACUUAAUUAGACUUAGCAUAUGUGAGUGUUAGAGAUUUAAUAUAAGAUUAUUAGAGAUGUAAUAUUCGAAACAUAUUUGAUUGUUAGAGAUUUAAUAUAAGAUUAUUAGAGAUGUAAUAUUUGAAACUUAAUUAGACUUAGCAUAUAUGAUUAUCUACCGUACAAAUACACGACACUUAGACUUAGCAUAUUUGAGUGUUAGAGAUAGUUAGAGAUUUAAUAUAAGAUUAUUAGGGGUUUAAUAUACGAAACUUAAUUAGACUUAGCAUAUGUGAGUGUUAGAGAUUUAAUAUAAGAUUAUUAGAGAUGUAAUAUUGAAACAUAUUUGAUUGUUAGAGAUUUAAUAUAAGAUUAUUAGAGAUGUAAUAUUCGAAACUUAAUUAGACUUAGCAUAUAUGAUUAUCUACCGUACAAAUACACGACACUUAGACUUAGCAUAUAUGAUUAUUUGAUUUUUAAUACAAGAUUAGUAGAGUGUUAAUAUUACGCUUAGCAAAUAUUUCUUCUAUGAACAGAUGGCUGAUCGCGAUGAGGAACAGAUAUUGUACGAUACAAUCGCAUCGGGAAGCAGCCAGUACUGGAACGAAGAAGAGGGGAACGAGGAUCCAAACCAGUACUUGAACGAGAAGGGGAACGCGGAGAGGGAUGCAGAGGGGAACGAGGAGGGGAACGUGGAGAGGGAUGCGGAGGGGAACGAGGAGGAGGCUAGUGGAAGUCAUCCCUCCGCUGGACAGAAGAGGACACGCGGACAAUGAGGUGUCGCGAAGAAGAUACAGGGUUGGCACAUCAUAACUGAGGUGGACGCAGACGGCCGACCUAGUGCUCCGGCACAAGCAGCCAAGAAUUUUGUACGCCACAGCGGUUGGGUUGUGAGGGAUAACGUGCCUGUCAGCAAGGUGUACUGGCGCAGAACAAGGGCACGCGGGGGUGAUGACAGCUUUGUCCCGGAAUCAGAGAAAGAGAUGCUGUGGACCACAAUGCUCGAGACGUUCACGCUCCCUGCGGGUACAGAGAACAUAGUGAAACAGUGGACUCUUAACAAAAUGGCAGAACAGUUCGAGACCUUCAAGGGAGAUCUGUACCGGAAAUACAUCCUCAAGGGGCAGACACCGAACUUCGACGUAUUCCCGAAGCUAAGGGAUCACUGGGACGAGUUCGUUGCUUACAAGACAGGUCAACAAGGGCAGGCGAUGAUGGAAAGAAACAAAGAAAAUGCCACCAAGAAGAAGUACCAUCACCACUUGGGGUCAGGCGGCUAUAGCGUCGCGAUGCCGAAAUGGGAGGAGAUGGAGGCAAGCUUGCUUGAGAGGGGUAUCGAACCGGCCAUCGCUAAAUGGCCUGAUCGAUCGAAGUUCUGGUACUAUGCUCACGGUGGAACGCUCAACCCAGUUGAUGGCUCCUUGGUCUUCAGCGAUCAGAUACGCGAGGCUGCGAAUCGACUAACGGAUGCAGUGGAAGCCUCUUCUCAAGGCACAUUCCGACCCGACAGAGAGAAGGACGAGCUGUCACUCGCCCUACAGACUCCCGAGCAUCCAGGACGAACACGAGGGAAAGGCGUGAUUCCCUAGAAGAUGGGAUUCAAGGAGGACAUCCACACGUACAGGAGUCGGAUGAGGAGCAAGAGAGAUACCGAGGCGAAGAUUGCAGAUCUUGAGUACAGGGUAUCAAGCUAUGAGCUCAGCAUGCAAGAGGAGAUGGCCCGGAAGGUGGAUGAACGCAUGGCAGCACAUCGGUCACACGAUCCCCAGCCGUACAUACCUCCUCCAAUGGUCAGCCCAUCAGACAAUCGUAGCAGCUGUGCCUCAACGGGGCAAGUAGUAUCACAUAGCAUGGACGCCAUGCAAACCCAGGACGAAACCACCUACCCCGUUGAUGAGAUCACGCAUCGGACACCAUGUGAGCUGCAUAUUCCCUUCAAGAACUUAUCAAUCAAGGUAUGCUUGAUGUAAUAUAUGAUUUUUGACUCGUAUGUUCCGCAAGUUGCUGCUUAGGUUGAUUACUAAUAGAUAACCUCUCAUCACGUGAAGGUGGUGUCGGGAAUGGCCAUCCCAACGUACAUUUCAGGGACUUACCACUGCAGGCCAAUUCCAGCAGGAUACUCGAGGGUCGAAGUUGAGCUGGUGGAAGCCGUGUACGAGGACCUCGAGUUGGACUACCCAGGAGGAGAUGGUGAGACGCAUCUACGAGACACAAGCCACGCCAUUAUACUAUGGCGCAAGCGGUACAUCAUCCUCCCUAGGCGACAAGCGGCGUCUCGUGCACCAUCUCCUCCGGCUCCGCCGUCUCCUCCUGCACCAUCUCCUCCGGCUCCUCCGCCACCUCCUCCUGUACCAUCUCCUUCGGGUCCUCCGCCUCCUCCGCCUCCUCCUGCACCAUCUCCUCCGGCUCCUCCGCCACCUCCUCCUGCACCAUCUCCUCCGGCUCCUCCGCCUCCUCCUCCACCGUGUCCGCCUGCACCUCCCAAGACAAGGUCUCGACAUGCUCCACCUCCUGCCAGCACAAGGGCAACGAAGAAGGCCAAAGUUGACACCACCAAAAACAAGGAGCCGCCGUACGGUUGCAGUCAAGAGGAGCUUGACGCUUAUGUGGCAGGAGAAGUGAAGAGGCAACUCAAGCCUCGGAGUCCUGAAAAGAAGAUACCUAUUGACCCGAGCGUGAAGAAUUUCUUCAAGGGAAUGUCCACCGCAAACAAGGAGGCCUUAAAGCUAUCGGACUAUGACCGAACACUUAGGAAAGCCUAUUACAAGAAGUCCAAACCAGUUCCUCAGCUUGGAGAACAACCACACCAAGUGGUCGAGCCGUUGGUGACCAGCGAAGACUUUGGCAUAACGGAUUUCAUUUCGGACACCGGUCUAACCAUGGCUCAGUUGGUUGGAGGCGCACCAAUCCCGAAGGCGGAAGUGGCAUACAUGUUUGAACUCGGUAAACCGCUUGUCAGGCCUGAGCAGCUGCAGUCCCUACCGACACAAAUGUACAAAUUCCAUGAACGGUACAUGGAAAUGAGCGCCAAUGGUAGAGAGAUGUUCGGAGCGAGGAUCAGAAACCCCGACUUCUUGCAAGGAGAAGAUGUUCUAUGGAUCCAUUUCAAGGAUGUCUUCGAUCUGUACCAUCUGGACGCCCUCGACGUCUCUCUUCUGAGCGCAUGGAUUUUGUAAGUAUCUUUGAGUUCGAUUUGUUUCGUUCAAUAAUUAGCUCCUAGCAUAUAUGUAAGCAAUAAUAAUUUCCUUUCAUUGUUGUAGAAUGGAGAUUCAAAGGGUCCGACGGCGGAGGGUUUACGAUACUGGGUUCAUCGACCCUCGGAAAAUCAACACCGAAAUGCUCGACAAGUACGAGAAAGACACAGAGGACAAUCUAGUCCAUCUCCUAACGCAGCAGCAUUUCAAGACGUUCAUACUAUUGCCGUACAACACAGAGUGAGUUUUUAUUGUCGUUCGAACAAAUUUCAUUCCCAUACAUAUAACAUGUACAUUCUGAUAUUUAUCUCAUCUCACGCAUAUUCCAGAUUCCACUGGGUCCUGUUUUUUUUUGACUUGGACGCAUGCAGAGUCAUUGUGUACGACUGAAUGAAUAAAGAGGAGAAGGUUUUUGACAAGGUCUUCCAACUGAUAGACAGGUAAUAUAAUGCCAUAUAUUCCAAAGUCGCGGAACUCUGUUGCUAUUAUGUUGAUCUCGGGUAAUAUUUAAUUAAUCAUAGCUUGCAACUGCACAUGUAGGGCUUGGGAUCGGUUCCGUCAAUUGGUCCACGGGACUUGGAAAGAAAAACUUGGAUGGAGGUUUCAUUUUCCAGUGAGUACAUGCAUGAUCCAAAAUUAUAUUGAAUUGAAUCUCUAGUUACAGUUAAUAUAAAGAGUAUAUUAAAUCUCUCAUCGUUUCUCAUGUAGUGUGCAAAGCAGGACAAGGGAACUAACUUAUGUGGCUACUACGUAUGCGAGUAUGCCCACUGCCUAUCAAACCAAAUAUACACCACACGAGAGCUCGAUGUACGUAUACAUAAACCAUUCAAAAUUUCAUUUCGUAUCGAUUUGUUAAGUUGUUUAUUAAUUUCAUAUAUUGAUAUGUCAUUAUUUUUCGAAUGAUAGCGUAUUCACAUGAGGGAAAAACUCCCACACAAGGAUUUUAUCACGGCUGUUCAAAAACAACAGAUGGGGUUCAUCAACGAAGAAGUCCUUAAUCCCGAUGGUGAAUUCUACUACGACGGAUCGACAAUUUGUAACGUCGGUCCUUCCUCUUCUGACGUACCGCAGGCGUCGAAAUUAUAGCUAUAGCUAGCGAGCAAAUGAAUUGUACUAUACAUGCAUGUAUAUAUAUAUAUAUAUAUUUAUAUAUGUACGUACAUUUACUUUAGUGUUAAUAUAUAUUUUGGUAACAUAUAUGUACAUAAAAUGUUAAGUGCUUUAAAUUAUAAAUAUGUGUGUAAUAUAUGUAUUUAUACAUAUAUACAUACGCAUAUAUAUAUACAUAUAUAUAUAUAUGUAUUCUAUAUACAUGCAUAAUAUAUAUAUUACAAUGCAUAUAUAUGUAUUGUAAUAUAUAUAUAUAUAUAUAUAUAUAUAUAUAUAUAUAAUCAACCAUGUAGCAAACAGGGCCAUGCAAAUAAAAAAAAAUGGUACAUAGAUCUUUAGUCCGGGACUAAAGAUGGAUCAGCCGGCCACGUGGCUGACCGAUCUUUAGUCCCGGUUUGUUUUACCAACCGGGACUAAAGAUCGAUCUUUAGUCCCGGUUAUUUCACCCGGGACUAAAGAUCGCUAUCUUUAGUCCCGGAUUCGUAGUCCCGGUUGGACAACCGGGACUAAAGGGGGGUUAUGAACCGGGACUACAAACGAUUUCUCCACCAGUGAUCCCUCAUACAUAUUGAUCUUUAUAUUUUUUAUAAAUAAUAAAGAAUCUUCAAUGGUUGUAAUUUUUUUAAGAGUAAAUUGCAUCAGUAGUAGAAGAACUUUGUAGGUGGGUGCGAUUUAGUACAACAACUUGAAAAAAUAUGCCGACCGGUACAUAAACUUGGCAAUCAAGUGUAUUUUCGUCAAAACACUAUUACAUACAUAUGAUUCAACCUAUUUUGUUUGUUCUAUUAUAAGCAUAACUAUUAGAUUAUUGGUCAUGAGUACAAUUGAAUAUGUUUGACCAGUAGAAUCGCUCGGAAAUUAUGUUAUAACAAUUUUUAUGCACUUAAUUUUAACGAUCAUUAUAUUUUUCGGUUUCAAAUCGACACUUUAUUUUAUUAUUAUAAGCAAGCAAAUACAAUACGUCUAGACCAAUAUUAUUUGACAAUCAUUACACUUAUUAGAUUAUUGACAAACGACGACUACUUUUUUUUACUGCGUGGCUUAAAAGGUUUGGUGUCUAAUAUUGAUUUUUUAACCAGAAUGCACGUAUUAGCCAAGUUGUUGCACCUAAAUGAUCAUUUUUUAAAUUGUUACGCUAGAUCGCACCCACCUACCAAGUUUGUGUACCGUAGACGCAAUUUACUCUUUUUUAAUUAUAUAUUCAAUUUAUGAUCUGAAUGAACCAUUGUAUUUUUUAAUUAAAUCAAUAGUUUAAGAUAUGUACCAUCUAUAUUUAACUACUAAUAAAAUUAUUAUAUUCUGGACCCACAUCCAUAAUAAAAGAAAACAUAAAAGUUCUCAUGGAAAAUCAAAAUAUCCACCUUAUUUUAUUAAUAAAAUCAAUGUACCCAUAACUACAAACCAUUAACCUUAAUUAUAGCUUCAACGGACAUAAUGACGCACAACCAACUUAAGUAUAUCUCUCAACAUGUAUGUAGAGGAUAUAUACUUAGUCCUAAUGCUUUCAUAAAGAUAUGAUCUUUUUAAAGAUAAAUAAAAGAUCUUAGGAUGCGUUCGGUGCUAAGGGUUAGGAAAUAUUAAAUUAUAGCCCAAAAUACCUACAUCACAGAAUUGUCGGGAAUGCUAUCUCACGUUGCUCAAAUCCAACUAAUACACCAAGAAAAGAAGAAGGGGAGAGGGGUCUGUAGGGGUGUCCUUACGGAUAUCCUACUAAUAAAAGUUGAUUUCAAAUACUUAUUUGUAUGUUAUUUAUUAAAAAUUGAUUUCAGAUAUUUAUUUGUACGUUAUUUACUAAAUUAUCUAAUCAUUAGAACAAAGGUACAUACUGCCCAUUGAGUGAAAAACUGGAGGGCUAGCCUGUGCAUCCCGAUAUACAAGCAUGCUGGGUGUAGAAUUUAUUUUUCUAAGAUGAAAAGAGGGUUAUGAGAUAGUUACAUGUAUUAUCCUUAUACAUGCAGGACAUUAUUUUUUUCUUCUCGGUAUGAUGAUGCGUGCGAGCAUGCCACCGGAGGCAUGAAUUAACAUAUCCACCGUCUAUGGUGAGGGAAGACGAAUAAUUUGGUUAGUUCAACUAUGCACAAUAUAUUAGAUCAUCUGCAUAUGCAAUGGUUAGAAAUAAUGAUAUACCGAAUUAAUUAAAAAUUAAGGGUUAGAUAUUUCUUUUUUCUCAUAACUUCUAUUAUUUUCUCUAAUUUGUACCCUUAUACUGUAGAUAUAUUCAUAAUAUCCUAUGAGAAAUUAUCCGUAGCUAUGACCACUCGACGUUUGUCAUCAAAUAAUAAAUUAAUCAUCGAUUUUUUACAUAAAUCGGUAGAGCCAUUAAUUAUAUCAUUAAUUAUAUAUGGUUCUAUAUGAAUGUCUUUUAUAGCUAAAGUUUUCUCUCUUUCCCUAUGAAACUUCAAAAGUCACGUCUUAAGUAUCAUAAGUUACCAACCUAAUCUUUAGUAGGUAAUUUUAUAAAUAACAAUUAAAUUCAUCAAGCAAUGCUAUGGAGAAAAUUCAUGAAAAAAAUCACAAUUUUGGUAUACCAACCCUAUGGGUUUCUAAAAUGCAUCCUACGAUAUGGUACAUGUCCUCGCGAAUACGCGGGCUACUUUCUUAGUUGUUUACUUCAAAACUAUAAACAGUUCGGUUACUCCAACAAAAACAGUUGUGCAAUAUAAACGACAUUGUUUACUCCAAAACCAACCAAUUGUGUAAAUUCGUUUUGUCCAUCACAAACUGUGCGAACGAGCGCGUGUGCUUUCCUCCUGUCUCUCUUCAACUUUACAAUUGGUGUAAAUAAUUUCCACCAUCGAAGUUGAUUAAUCUAUCUCGAUUUCCCAUGUGGAACGAAAACACACGUGACUUGUAAGAUUUAAUGGGAUUUGGAUUUUUUUAUUUAAUUUAAAUAGGCCAAAUAUCCAAUUAAAUCUAACAAAAAAACACCUUCAAUAGUAAAAUCACCAUCCAAAACGCAUUUGGGGUCGUGUGGUGUAACUAAAUUGAUUGGAAAUAUUUCUCAAAAAAUAUUAUUGAUUGGAAAUAGUACUAGUUUUCAAGUUGAUGGUGCUAAUAAUAAGAGGUUUAAAAUGUGCUGAUUCAUUUUGCCCUCUAGUCAAGCAAAAAUUAACAGAUUUUCAAGAGAUUGAAUUAAAUCUGUACUGGAAAGGGAAGGCAAACGAUAAACAAUGACCUUAACAGAAUAACUGUGACUUUAAAGUUUGAAUGUUUGACUACAUGAGGAAUAGAAUGGAAUACGGGUACACCCGUCCUGGGUAAAUUCGCUGUCGCAUUCAAGUUAGGUUGGUGACGUCAUCCAACUAAUGACGCUAUAUAAUACUGUCUAUUUCAAUAAACACAAACAAACACAUGAGUACAUUUAGCAAGCUCCAGAAAAGUGUUAAGUCAUGGUACGACUUACGAGUCACACCACGCUGUAUUGUGUCCAGACAUCUCACUAUGUAAUUAUUUUUUGUUAAAAUAUUCUGAAAUUGUGAAUCACAACUUUCAGUUAAUUUUCAGUUACAACUUUAGAAUUUUAUUGAGAACUUGAAUAUUUUUAGUACUCUGUUUUAUAAAAUGUUCUCAAGUCUCAAAUUCUAACUUUCUGAAAAUUUACGAAGUGUUUUUUGGCAUGUGCUGAACAGUCAUAUUAUAUCUUCCAAUUUUUUCGCACACUGUGAAUGACAGAUAUUUACUACUACAUCAGUCCAAAAAUAAGUUUAUUUCUAUCAUCUAACCUACCUACCUUUAGCUCGUAAAUUGAUGAGUUUUAUUUGUUAAGUUCUCCUUGCUAACCUCUUACAUACCUAACCAUAAAUACCACUAUUUUCCUAUUGUUAUAUAUCAUGCGUUGCAACAGGAUAUGAUACACGUGUGGUACAAUUUUAUACCCUCGAAACAGGAUUUGGAGAACAUGGUUCAGUUCUUUUUUAAUGCACCGGUUUUUCGAAGUAUAUGUGAGAUUGGGAGAGGGAAGGAAAGGAGUGGGGAACAUGGUACAGUUUUUUCCAUUGGUUAAUUUUUUUUGGAUGCAUGGUUUUUUAUAUGGGAUUGGAGGACAACUAUGCUUUGCAAUGGAUCAAAAUUAUGGGGUUUACCUUUUCUUCUAUCCUGUUUUUCAGGUUGAUUUUCGUGUGAAAUAAUGAUUUUUGAGGGAGGUAGUUUUUUAUCUGGGGAGGGACGAGGACUUCACUUUUAAGUAGUGAAAUAGAUGAGCGGUACUUCUCUAUUUACCCUCCACCUUGUUUUAACACCUAAGGCUAAAAAUAGAUUUAUUUUGACUUGGAGUGAGAACUUUGAUUUUUUUUUUGUAUUUGUUGAAUUUUAACAUAGGUGAAUUUUCAUCUUUUUUUUUGUAAAUAUCAUUUUAUAUUGGCAACUAAUAUCAUUUUCAAUAGGAAAAAGUUCAAAUUACCCCUGAAAUAUUUGGUGAAUACGAAAUCACUCACGCGCCGGCGGAGGCCGAGGAGGAGCGGCGGCGGAUAUGGGGCUCCUCACGCACAUGCCGGCGGAGGCCGAGGAGGUGAAGCACAAGCCAAUUGAGGCCUGGGAGGAGUGGCGGCAGCUGUGAGCAUCCUUAAGCGCAAGAAAGCUUGAGACGGAGGUGGACUUGUUGCUGGCUGCACGUGAGGUUCGACUCCCCCGAUGUUGCAGCCACCUCCGCACAAGCUCUGACAUUGGCCGCUGGCUUCAAUGACCCAAUCGGCACCAUCCUCAUCAGCGAGGGCAAUGACUCCCACAUGAAGCGCACCCCUGUCCCGGUUGCUCCCACCUCAACUCGAGUUAACGGCGGCAUCGGUGUAUGCGCCGCCACAGCCUCCAAAGAGAGCCGGGGAGGGAGAUUGGCUUAAGGGAGAUAGAUGACAAGUGGGUCCAUAUUUAUUUUCUUUGUUGAUUGGAUUGUCAUGUUGAUUUCACGUGUGUAAGUUCUUGAUCAAAAUCGCCCAAAACAACGAUAGAGGGUAAUUUAUUCAGUAUGAAUAAUUGAGAGCGUAAAAGUCUGGUAUUUGAGUUCAAGGGGUAAUUCGUGUUAGAAUAUAUAAGCACAUGUAGAUUUAAUUUAUUCCAUAAAUAAAUCAUGACAUUGAACAUGUAUACUGCAUAAUCGCAUCAUACGAUCUAUGCAUGUAAACUAGACAGAGCAGACCGAAUAUACAAAACAUGAUGAAUGCGUACCGAGGGUUUUGGAGUUGCACAACAGGACGAAUUCACGGUACCGGACAUGUAUACUAGCAUAAUCGCAUCAUACGAUCUAUACAUGUAAACUAGCCAGAGCAGAUCGAAUAUACAAAACAUGAUGAAUGCGUACCGAGGGUUCUGGAGCUGCACAGCAGGAAGAAUUCACAGUAUCGGACAUUGACGACGGCGCCGUGGUCGACAAAUAGCAAGUAGUCAUGUGAAGCACUUCCACACCCUGUAACCGAACCGAAUAAGUCAUGCGUAACUUAUCUGGACUCCAUCGCGGCCUAGCCAGGCGAGACGAGUGAGCGCGUGUGUGUUUCUCUUGUUCUCUUCACCACACGUGUCUCAAGUGGCUAGGAGAGCACCCUCUUCUAUAAGGAGAUCUACAUCUCCUAUAACAGACAAGGUGGUACUAAGCAUCCUAUGCACGCCAUCCCGUGAUGUGUGUUUUUGUGAUUUUCUAAAGAAUUAAUCUUCAAAUAGUAUAAGACUCAUUUAUUAUUUCGAACAAUUCGCACUCACCCAAUAGUUCAUUCAGAGAGGUAAUUCACACAUUUUCGUUUUCAUUAAGCUGGACCACCUUAUUAUUCAUCAAUAUUAAUAGCUACAUAAACAAGUCAGCGUACUCAAGAUUUCCAAAAUACUUAAAUCUAUCAUCCAGCCACUAAAUCGUUGCCUCGCAAGAAAACAACCACCUCCAUCACGUAGUGGGGUGUCGCAAAAAUGACAACAACAACAUCACCAAGCAUACAUAAAAAUGCGCUUUAUUGCGAAUGAGACUAGGUAAAGUAGGUGGCCAAAACGCAUGACUCCAUAUAUCUAUCCAGCUCAUAACUAAUAGCUCAUGGAGCUCAACGGACUGCCGGUCGCCACAAGCUGGGAGAGAGCAGCCUCCACCAUCUGCUUCAUUUGGACACUAUCCAUGUGAUCUACCUGAAAUUUGAAACAACUUUAUUCAGCCAAAACCCCAAAAUUAACAAUGCUAAGGUUUUGUUCUUUUGAAGAGGUUGCGAACCCCUUCCCUCCGCACGUAAAAUAGAGUAAUGGAUUAACACAUGAUUAAUUAAAUAUAUUUUAAAAAUCUUAAAAAAUAUAUUGUUAUGAUUUAUUUAAAACAAUUUUU